CGUAAAUUUUUAUAUAAGUCAAACCGCUUUAUACAAAGCCUAUUUAAUUUAUUAUAGACACAUGGUGUAGCAAAAUAGAACAUAAAUUUAUACUUAAAUAUGAUUUAUUGAAGUAUUUGUGAUUACAAAUGACCUAAAAGAUCAAUAAGUAGCAACACAAUUUUAUUUAUUUGUAAAUUUGGAGUAAAAGAGCAUAAUUUUUUAAUCAUGAUUUCAUUCAUGACACAUUGGUAACUUGUUCCUCUUAUUAAAUAGAUAUUAAUAUGUUUUGUUGCAUGGAUAAUUUAGAAAUGGAUUUGACAUUUGGGUGAUUUUAAUGUCUCUUAAAAAAAAAAAAACGUCUUUUACGUACUGGUGGAGGAGGAUGCCAUGGAAUAUGGGGAGGAUGAAUCUUUACAGGAGGGGGAGAGCGCCUGCGAAAGCGGUCGCGUAAAACUUGCCACAUCAUGUCGAGUUCUCCUUCUUUAUCGUAAUUAGGUGGUUCAGGAAUUGGUGUCUUGGAGAUUUGUGGGCUUACAUCAGCAAGUCCUUGUGAAACAAGGAUAAGAGCAGCAAGGAACAACAUUAGUAAGGUUAAGAAAUUCGAAACCAUUUUCAUAAGUUGUUUUAAUGUUUCUACAUUACAUAUAAAGAAUAAUCAUAUUUUAUACUAGUUUGGAGCUCAAAUGGGUUUGCAAUGUCUCAAUCUGAGUUAUAUGUGUUGUCCCUUAUUAUCAUUGGCUCUCCACACAUGUGAGUCUUUUCUAUUAAUUCAAACCAUAUUUUAGGACCAAAAAGAUACAUUAACUAUUAUUGAUAGAGUAAAAUUAAAAUUUACAUUAAUUUAAAAUUGAAUUUUAUUUGUAUAUAUGAUUAUUCGAAACCAUAUUUAGCCAUAUAGAAAUUUGUUGAUAUAUUUUAGAAGCUAACUUAAAAAAUUAAAAUAGCGUUAAAGUGUAAUUUAAUUGGAGACAUCGUUUAGUUAAUUAAAUGUUACAUUUUUUAUUUUUGUAUUCAACAAUAUUUAUAGUUGCGAAUAAAAGAUAUCUAUACAAAAAUACAUAAUCGUUCAAUUUAUUGAUUCAAUGCGACGUUAACAAUAAAAUAGAAUAAAGAUUUAUUGCAACAAAUAGGAUUAGCUAUAAGGCUAAACCAACAUUGCAAAGGUUGGGUGAAAAAUAUAAUACUGACAUUUCCGUUCUACCUUAGUCUUAUUUUUUAUUAAUCGCUUCAAAUCACCCAUGAAACUUCGAAAUGCAUACUUCCACCUAUAUUAAACUGGUUCCCUGGGCAUAACUUCAUAAGGUUAACUUUGGUCAAUGAGUUUAAAACAUUGUUUGACAAUAAAUUAAAUACAAUCCGAAGUAAGGGUUCCAUGAAAACAUGAUGAGUAUACUAUAUCAAAAUAUGAAUUUUAUAGCACAUCUUUAAUAGCGAUUGUUAAAUAAAAAUAUUGUUGUAUUAUGUUUUAAAAAUACACGGAGUCUUAGACAAUGUUUUUUUGAAAAACAAUGUCAUAUGUACUAAUAACAAAGCCUUUAACAACGUUUUUUAUAAAAGCACUGACAUAUGAUCAUAAUAUUUAAAGCGUUUUUGUUAUAAGUGUUGUCAUAGUGUAUUUUAACGCGCUUAUCAAAAAAGCAAUGUCAUAGGAUCUCAUAAAGUUUCUACUUUUUAAAGUCUCACUUUUAAUUUUAUGCAUGUAAUUGGUUUUAUUCAGCAAACCGUCUAUGUCGUCGCAUCUCUGUUGGGGAGUCCAUGGGAGAGCGACAUCCGAAAUAGGCUAAACAUCAAGGAUUCUUAAGUGACUUAGACACCACAUCUCAACCCAAAACCUUAAGGCAUUAGGUUCAUGGGUUAUUCUCCUUAUAUAUCCAAUAUAGCCUUCAUUCCUAGUCAAUGUGGGACUAAACAUCAAGGAUUCUUAAGAGAUUUAGACACCACAUCUCAAUCCAAAACCUUAAGGCAUUAGGUUCACGGGUCAUUCUCCUUAUAUAUCCAAUAUAGCCUUCAUUCCUAGUCAGUGUGGGACUAACCACUCAUAAUUGAAUUCCAACAAAUCUCCCCCUCAAUUAUGAGUUCCCACCACUGAACUUGAUCCAAGUCCUUUUUGCUCUUGAUCCACUUGAUCCAAGUGCUUUUUGCUCCCCCACCAAAGCCAAACCAGGCUCUGAUGUGUAGUAUACACUUAACUAUUGUCAUGAGAAAAAAGACAAGAUAAUUUUGUUUUUUCUACUAGUUUUGUAUGUCUGAUUGGUAAAUCAUUUAUGUGAUAAUGGGUGCCAAAAGCGUUGUCUAUCAAUGAUUUCAAGAAUUAUUAUGUUGACAUAAAGAAUAAUCAAAAAUGGGUUUGGAGAUUGGUAAAUCUUACUAAAAAAAUAGUUCAAUAUGUGAAAUAGUGAGAGGUAAAAGAAGUAAUAUACCAAUGUAGAACCUUAACCUAAUGUGCCACUUAUCGAAAUUAGAGGUUGUGUGAACUAUAACCUAAUAUUGGCCUUGAGACAACUGGGUAUCCCAUCAUAGGGGAUCAAGCACCAAUACUAAAAUCCAUUUUAUUCUUUAUGACAUGGGACCAGAAAAAAUUGAAGAUUUGUGAAGAAUACGUAAAUCUUGGGAUAUGAUAAUCAAAAAAAGGAAGGAGCUAAGGAGUAGAAGUUGUGGUGUGGAUGAUUGCUACAAAGGUGGGUCAAGAAUAGAGUCCAAGAGAUCAAACUACCUUUUCGUCGUACAUCAGAGGCAGUCGAUGAAACACUGAUGCAACCCACUAUUACUGUAACUACCAAGGUACGCCUAAAAGGGGGGGGGGGGUGAAUUAGGUGUUAGGGUAUUUUCUUGUUUUCAGUGAUAUGGUAGUUGAAUUUUCUGAGUUAAUAUAAUGACUAAUAAUAAGUAAGUGCAGUAAAUAAAUGAGCACAGUAGAAUUAUCCUAGUUCCCCUUAUAACCAAGGGUACAUCCAGUCCUCUUGCACACCACACGAGAUUAAUCCACUUAUUGCCAGAAAAUGUACAACUCCCACCAAAGGAUUUCUGCUACAAACUUCUAACAAUACUUCUAAGAUAGCACACCACUAUCUUAGAUUAAGCUACUUUUAAGAAAGUACUACUUUAUUUUACAAGUGAUACAAUAUGAUUUUGAAUAAGGAUAAAGGAGAGGUAUAACGAUUUCAAUCUAAUAAUACUUCAAGUACUUUGAGAAUCUUACAGAAUGAUAUGAAACUAAAAUGCAAGUACUUUGUAAAAAACAAAAUUUUGUUCAAAGUUAUUCAAGGUAUUGAUUCAAGGAUUGUGUUAUGUUUGAUAUGAAGUUAUAGCGUAUUUAUACUCCAUAAACAUCUCUUUAGAUUCGUGGUCAAUGAUCCAAGAGGUUUGAUAAACAAAUACAAUGAUAUGGAGCUAUUUCAGAUCUGAAAAAUUGUAUUGCAUCCAGUUGUAUUUGGAUACAGGAUGUGUGUAUUCGAAUACACCUCUUUAUAACUUUCAAAUUUAUUCAAAAUUUGCACCUUGUAUUUGAAUACACCUUUCAUGUAGUCGAUUACAUAUACGUGAAAUUUUCUACUGACUUACUUUGUAUUCGACUACAGAAGGUCGUAGUCGAAUACAGAUGCAAAGAUUUUAGCCACUAACUUGCUAUGUAUUCGACUACAGAUGGUUGUAGUCGAAAUCAAAUGUGAGGCUUUUUCUUCUGACUUACUUUGUAUUCGACUACAACAUGCUGUAUUUGAAUACCUUUUGUAUUUUGUCAAAAAUAUUUGUUUUAAUACUUUGUUAAUGUAAUUUUGACUUUUGAAAAUACUUUAUAUGCAUAUGUAAAUAUUAAUGGUUCUCAUGUAUUUGAGGUAUUUGGUUGUAUCGUUUACCUUUACAUGUAAACACCUAAUAUGUUUGGAUUUAAAGCUUAUUAAUGAAGAUAUUUGAAAUUCUUUUUGAGCUUUUUGCUUUGAUCAUAAUUGUUGAUCUUUGUUGUCAUAAAAAACAUGUAGUUUACAAUUACUAGUGAAGAGAUUGAACGGUUGCAAACAUCAACUCUAGAUGGGGAUAAAGAAAAGAAGAAUUUUCUAGAAGAAUUGAUCAUCGAGCAUAUGAGACUGCCCAAAUGGAAAAUGAGCAGAAGACAAUUUCCCUUAAAAGAUCAAAUACGAGGGCAAAUGUGGAGGAAGAUUUUUGGCUCAAGUGUCAACACAAUUUAAGGGCCUUUUACGAGUCCUUAUGUUUGAGAUAAGAAGAAAGAGACCAAGCACGAGAGAAUGUUGAGAAAUUGAAAAAUUAGUUUAAAGAUUCAUAAAUCAGUGAGAAAAAUGCAAAAAGACAAUUGAAAUAUUCGAAACAACAAAUUGAAGAAAGCGGUAGUAGAAUAUAAGAUAAGGAUAGAAGGAGAAAAUAAUGAAAGACAAGAAAUGGUUUUCAUGUACCAAGAUACAUGGAUGAAGGAACAAGAAGAGGUAAAUAUGUUCAGUAUCCAAAUGAUGGAUCAAGUGAAAGCAAUCAAGAUAAUUUGGCAAUAAGGGUUAAUGUGGAUGGAUCGUUGCGAAAAACUCUCUUUCAUUGCCAACCAAGCCAUCGAAGAGGUCCUUGUACUCCUAAGAAAAGUAGAAGCGCGAAUAGUUCCAUCCGCCACACUUGUUGCAAUUAUUACUUUCAUUCAACAUUGUAAUAAUUUGAUAGAAGCAAUGAAUGGUUUAAUUCACAUAGAUCAAUAAAAACAAUGUAUUUUGAGUAUAAAACUAUGGCACUUGUACCCAUUUAAUUAUCAAUGAACGAGUUUAUUUUGCGUUUUCUCUACAUAUGCGUUUGGUUUUGAUGCAUGAUCUCGACAAGAUGCUAGUGUCUAGGUUGUGAAAUAAAUGAUUCUGUAAUAUUCACAUGCAUCUAAUUGAAGGAAAAUAUUGAUUGAAUCGUAUAGGCUAUACAAGCUUUGGCAAUGAAGGAGAGUAAAGAUAUGAAUCCUCUAGUUCUGGUUUCGUUUUUGUCUCUUGUUUUGGUGGUAUCCUCUAGUCGUAUCCUCAUCUAAUAUUUGGUUCCAUUUUUGCCUCUAGUGGUAUCAUUUGUUUCGGUUUCUACCACUUGUUUUGGUUCUCUCUCUGGUGUUGGUGGUAUCCUCUAGUUGUAUGAUUUUCUAGUAUCAUCUGGUUCCAUUUUGUUUCUGCCUUUGGUGAUAUUCUCUGGUGGCAUCCUUUGCUCGUAUCUUCUUUUGGUAUCUUCUAGUGAUAUCCUUUGGUGGUAUCCUAUAGUCGUAUGAUCUUCUGGUAUCUUCUUGUCGUAUCCUCUAGUGGUAUCCUUUGAUUCUGGGUAUGUUUUUGCCUUUGUGGUACUGUCUGACGGUAUACUCUAGUCGUAUCCCCUUUUAAUACCCUCUAAUUGUAUCCUCUGGUGGCAUUCUUUAAUAAUAUCUUCUAGUCGUGUCCUCUAGUGGUAUUCUAUGGUUCUAGUUUUGAUUCUAUUUCUGUCUCUGGUGGCAUCAUCUGGUCGUAUCCUCUUAUGGUAUCCAUUGGCGGUAUCCUCUAAUUCUAGUUCUUGUUCCCUCUAAGUUCUUGUUGUUUAUUUUUUAUCUUAUGUUAAAUAAACUAACUAUUUUAGGGACUUUAUUAUGAUUUAAAUAUAUCCACAAAUAAAUUAAAAUGCAUCAUAUUAGUAUAUAAAUAAUAGGAAGUGUCAUUAUACAAAUAAUAACCAAGAAAAAAAUAUUAGCCUCUAGGGUUAACUCUAACAAUCUCCCACAAGCACUAGAGCUAACUAGAAAUACUCCUAAUACCCAUAAUUCUAGUAUGACCAUCAUGCUUCUGUUGAGCAAGUGGUUUUGUAAGUGGAUUAACAUUGUUUUUCCAAGAUAGCAACUCUGCAAAUCCUCACAUAUACUCUAUCGAUGCUCUCUCUAAUAAGAUGGAAGCGUCGAUGUGACACCCUAAAUCCCAAAAUAAUAUAUAUAAUAAUUUAUAUCAUAUUCCUAUAAAAUUUGCAGCAGAUAAUUAAAAAUAUAUUUACAAGAAAAUACAACUUUAUAUUUAAUUUAGGAUAUCACGUUUCUCAAAAAUAAAAAUAAAACCCUUUAAACUUAUUUUAUUCAUUAAAAUAGUGCAAUCUCGAUAAGCAUUAUUUAAGUAUAAUUACUUGAUUUAAUUCUAAAAACCUACUAGUACUUCUAAGGUUUUCAUACAAAAAUUCAUUUCUAAUUAAAUAAGUAAAAUCCAAAUUAAAACCCUUAUUCCCGGUAUCACCUAUCAGAGCGGGGUUCCUCGCAAACUUAAACUUCAAGACUCAUUAACCUGUUAUAACUGCGAUUUUGCAAACACAGCGCCUUGCCAGUCAAACACAAACAACGAAUGAGGUGAGUUUCAAAAUCAUGAUGACAGUACAAUACAAGUAAGAAGAACACACAAACAAUCAUAAUAGGACCGUAUCAUUACACAAAUAUUCCAUCAAGGAAAAUCAAUAGAUUUCACUGUAACAUCAAAUUGUCUAAGAGAAAUUAUCACCACGCACGAUACAUAUUAAUAAUAACAAAACAAUUACAAUAAAAUGCAAUGUUAUGCAUGAGCUUAGACACUACUUCACAAUGUGGUACCAUUCUAACUCUGAAGUACUUGGUUAGGAGGCUUGAUACUAUGCCACCAUCCCGGUGAGCGGACAAUUCAAAUUGGCCUUGUCCUCAUAGAUCCCUUCAACUAAACCCGAGACACAUAUACGUGACAGUCGAGGUAAAUGUGUGUUGCGUGGUAGCUCCCGACAUUUGGAGUGCUACCUCCAAGUCACCUAGGAAUUCCCCACCCGAAUACCUCCAAGGUCUAACGAUCUUGCCUUAAGGCUCGACACCAGACCGCCACAAUCAGACUCAUUCAGUUAUACUUUCCCAGAAUCACUAGGCUUGUUAGGCCCUACCUAUAUGAUGACAAAAUAAUCUUCACUUCACAAUUUCUCAAUAUUUAUUUUCUCCCCUCGUUGAGCUAUGAUACUCCAUUAAGAACCAUCAUCUCAAACACAAAUUGAAAUCACAAUUAUUUCACCAACUAUGGGGUUACUUUAAUAUUCUCAUCACAAAUUCACAAUAUCACUAUCGUUAAUCAUAUCUUAUCACAUAAACUCAACACAUAGGCUUGUCACAAAUUUAUAACAUCGUUAUUAUUAAUUAUACAUCAUCAUAAUCACAUAAAUGUAUCAAAAUAAAUUCCUUUUUAUCAUCACAUCACAUACACACGUCUAAUCAAACUUAUACAUAAAAUUCAUUCAACAUCUAAUAUCACAAUAAUAUCAAAUAUCACACAUUUAGUGAAAAUAAAUCAAACAUCACAAUAAUAUUCAAUACCACACAUUUAGCGAAGUUAAAUCUAUCAAAACCUUAUAAAUAUUUCUAUUCCAUACUUUAAUCUCAUAAUUCACAUAUUUUAACAUUAAUUAAUUUAUCACUUAAAUGGCUACUGUCGUACGUAACGAGCCCCAAAUGAAUCGUUUGGAAAUACGGUUUUCUCGUUCAUCUCAAAUUAUAUUAUACUCAUGAAUUCAAACGCUCUCUCAUCCCUUACCUUAUUUUGAAGCUUUCACACACGAAUACUAUUCCAUGAGCAAACAACCUUUGUUCAUUGACUCUUUGUCCUUCAAUUGAUCUAACUCAACAAUUUAUGGGUAAACGUUAAAAAUAAAUUAUGAGAAGUUACUCUAAAAACUAAUUUCAUAAUUUGGUCAAGGAAAAUUACCAUAAAUCAGAAACUCAAUCAAUGGAUAAUAUAGCCACUUUUUACACGGUCGUUUUGGCGUUGGUUUCACUCAAAUCGGACUUACAGUGAAGGAGAAUGGUGCAAAAUAAUGAAUUCUACAAACGAAGAAGUCGGAUAUUUUAGAGAGAAAUUGGGGUUGUUAAAAAUCUGGAAAAUUAUAUUUAAUUGACGAGUUAAAUGAAUGAAAUAACAAACUCAAAUUUGGAUGAAAAUGGAGAGAGUUUUCUGUAACAGUUAUCGAUCACCGGUGUGAAACGAUAGGAUUAUUGUUGUGUUUCCUCUUUAGUUUUACGGCUGUCCUUCCAACUCCAUUCUCUUUUUUGUUUAUUUUAUUUUAUUAACAAUUAGGGUUCAUACAUGAAUCAGACCCAUUGGUCUCCUUUUAGGUUUUACUAGUUUUAUUUUAUCUUAUUUUUUUAAAACACAAUUUCGUUAAUAAAGUAUUAUUAAUAUUUCCAAAAGAAUAAUUUAUAAAUAAAAAUAAUUAAUCUUUUAAAAUACAUUAAUAAUAAAAAAUCUCAUAUUUAAAAUAAUCCCUAUAAUAAUAUUUAUUUUUUUCAAAUACCCAAAUUAAAAUAUUACCAUCAUUAGAGAAUAGUCGAAAUUGUAAAAUAAAUAAAUAUAACAACAACACUUUAUAUUAAUUGCUAAAUCUUAAUAAAUAUAUAUAAAAUCACAAUGUCAUAACCAGUAUAUAAAAAUAAAGUAAAUCAAACACAGUAUCACUACUAUCUCAAGAUAAUUAUUUAUUAAAAAAAUAACUAAAAAUAGAAAAUAGUUAUAAAUAAUUGAUGCUGUUUCCAAGCAAAACUUCCUGUAGUACCCUGCCAGUCCUACAAAACUCCGUAUGUCAGUGACAGUCUGAGGUUGUUUCCAAGCAAGAACCGCCUCAAUCUUAGCCGGAUCUACAACGAUUCCUUCCUUGGUUAUCACAUGUCCCAAGAAAUUCACUUUCUCUAGCCAAAAUUCACGCUUCGACAUAUUGGCAUACAGUCGCUUCUCGCGUAAGAUCUCAAGAACUUGGCGUAAAUGUUUUCCAUGCUCUUCUUCAGUUCUUGAAUAAAUCAGUAUAUCAUCAAUAAACACCACAAAAAAUUUAUCCAGGAAUGAAUUAAAGAUUCUGUUCAUGUAGUCCAUGAAAAUUGCUGGUGCGUUGGUAACCCCAAACGGCAUAACCAAAUAUUCAUAAUGUCCAUAGCGGAUUCUGAAAGCCGUUUUCUGAAUGUCUCCUUCCCUUACUCGAAUCUGAUGGUAACCCGACUUCAAGUCAAUCUUCGAAAAUAUCGCGGCCCCUCUCAAUUGAUCCAUCAAAUCAUCGAUUCGUGGCAAAGGAUAACGAUUCCUAAUAGUUGCCUUAUUAAGCUGUCUAUAAUCCACACAUAGGCGCGAGCUUCCGUCCUUCUUCUUAACUAGCAAAACUGGAGCUCCCCAUGGUGAUACACUUGGUCUGAUGAAUUUCUUCUCCAACAAGUCUUCAAUUUGGCCUUUGAGCUCAUUUAAUUCCAAUGGCGACAUUCGAUAAGGUGCCAUUGAAAUAGGUCCCGUUCCUGGGUGCAAAUCAAUGAAGAAUUCCACUUCUCUUACCGGUGGCAAUCCUGGAAUUUCCGUUGGAAAUACAUCCCGAUACUCGUUGACAAGUAUCACAUCUUCUAUAUCCACAUUUAUCUUUGCCUCCACAUUUGCCAGAGACAAAAACUCAUGAGUCCCUUCACUUAGCGACACUCGGAGUUUGUUAGCAGCUAAAUACUUAACAACUCCUGGUUCGGGGAAAAGAACCAAUUUACGAGCACAAUCCAAGAUCACAUAAUGAUAAGACAUCCAAUCCAUACCGAGGAUGACCUCGAGUGAUUCUAGCGGUAAACAAAUUAGAUUAACCAAGAAAUCCCUAUUCUGUAUAGUCAUUCGACAAUGUAAACAUGCAGAAUUUACGGUUAAGGUCUUAGCAGGUGUGGAAACAACCAAAUCAAAAGGUAAAGCAGACACAGAUAACUUCAAGCGAUUCACACAGUCCAUAGCAAUGAAGGAAUGGGUUGCCCCCGAAUCAAAGAGUGCAGUUAGAGUGUUACCUGCAAUCUCACAGUCACGCUGAAUCAGAUUACCAGAUGGAUUCCCCUCUUCAGCAUUCACACAAUAAAUGCGUCCUCUAGCAGUAGGACGGGUAGCCCUAGCUACAUUCACCACUGGUUCCACCUUUGGAGCCGUGCAAUCCCUUGCCAUGUGCCCCGACUUCCGACAAUUGUGACAGAUGGGGAUGUUAGUGGUACAAGCACUAGCAUAGUGUCCUUCUCCCCCACAUCGGAAACAUCGAAGCACUUGCCCCAAUUGCCUCCCGAAAUUCUGGUUCCCCGGGCGACUCUGCCCACCGUUGUUAUUCUGGGGUCGAUUAUAAGGUUUAGCAACUUGCUUCCCCUUGUUCUGAUAAUUCGCCCGACUAGGGCCUCCCGAAUUAAAAUUCCCUACUCGGCUAGCCCUCUUGUUUUUCAUAUCUUCCACUUCUCUACAUUUCUCCACCAGCGCUUGGAAACGUUGAAUUCCCAAGGGUAAAACGGAAUCUUGAAUCUCAUACUUCAAUCCGUCUUGGAAACGAUGACACAUGAACGGUUCAUCAAUUUCUUCACGGAAGAACCUGAAAUGCCUCGAUAGUGAUUCAAAUUUAGCAGCAUACUCGCCCACAGUCAGGCUCCCCUGGUGAAGUUUCAGAAAGUCGUCACCCAACUUAGUCCUGGUACUCAUCGGAAAGUAUUUGUCUAAAAACUUUCUUUUGAACGAUUCCCAGUUCACCUCCUCGUGGGCUGCUCCCAUCAAUAACCUUGCACUCCUCCACCAGUACUCAGCAUCCCCCAACAGCAUAUAAGUGGCAUAGCUGACCUUCACUCCCGCCUGACACUUUAUCAUAUCAAAGAUCUUCUCCACUUCUUGGAUCCAUUGAUCCGCCUUCUCUGAACCCUCAUCCCCCUUGAACUUAGGAGGAUUGUAACGACGGAAGUCUUCUAACCCUCUUGACUCUGCAGCACGGAUCUCUCUUCCCCUCUUUUCAAGAUCCCGUUGAGUCUUGGCAGCAGUCUGUGCAGCAACAGAAGCAGCCAUGUUAUUCAUAGCCUCCGCCAUUUGAUCAUUCCUAUUAGCGUUGGCUCUCGGAGCGUCAUUCCUUCUUGGCGGCAUGGUUUCCUAUAAAACCAUCAUCAAGUAGAGUCUUAACACUACUUCAAAUAAUUCCAAACUAACGUCCGACUAACAACACACAAUUAUAUUGGACUUGACAACUCAAGUCACCUAAACCGACACAUGAUCAGACAACAACUCUUAACUUAUAGGUCGACCUACAAUCUAUAACCAAGGUUCCACAGCUCCCAAAGAAAACCAAACCAAAGCUCUGAUACCACAGUGUAACACCCCGUUUUUCAAAGCGAGGGUAUAUUUUUUUUUUCAAAAGAAAUUAAAAUAAAACAAAGUAAAACAAAUGAGGAAAUGUCUUUGGAUAAAUAAUUGAGUCAUUACAAUUUACGACGAUUUUUCAAAACAACAUUAAGUAACCCAAACAUUAAGAGAUUCCCCAUUCUUAAUAUCCAGUUAACUUAAACGAUUUUCACAAACACACAUUAAGUAAACCGAGAUAUUAAAAGAUUCCCCAUUUUUAAUACUCGUUUAACUCUAAUGGUUUUCAAAUUUCACAACAAAACCAACUCAAAACAUUUUAUCAAAUUCAAUUCACAAUCCACACCAAAACACAUCAAAUUUCAUCGGUAUUAACUUAGAACACGUCAAAUACGACGAACACAAAUCAACACAACAUAGCACUCAAACACAUCAAAUUUCAUUUACCCAUAAUCAUACACAACUGAGUUAAGUUCAUUUUCCACGAAACAUCCAUCAAAUAUAACCAAAACCUAACUCUAAGAUUUUACCCAUAAAGUCUUAGAUCCAUUUUCCCCCAAAUCAAUACUCAAACCCUAACAAGAUCCUUUCCACACAAUCACAGAUAAGUCCCUAAAUGCAAACUAAAAGUUUGGAAGGAGCCCUUACCUUAACGUUAGCUUUAACGUGCGUUUCCGGUACCGCGAGUAAAUCCUGUAAAAAUCUCCGCUCGCAACGUCGCCUCCAAGUUGGUCCCCUAGCACCGUAGCAUGGUAGUGAGCAACUUUCCCUUCUAACUCUUCGCGAAACGAAGUUUAGAUCUAGAUGAAACGGAGGGGUUUGUGUUUUAAUCUCUAAUACCGUUUUUCUUCGUUUUCGAAUCAAAGAGGAAGAGUGAAGUUAACAAAUCCUUAUCCUAACAUCACCAAGCUUUGGGUUUCUAAACUUAAAGAAAGAAAGCAAAAAAAGGACGAAAAUGGAGGAGAAGAAGGAAAUUGGUGCGCGUGAGUGACAGAGGAAGAAGAUGGAAAAAUCAGAUUUUCCUUCCUUUCUUUUUCUUUCCUUUGUUUUUCCUUUCUUCCUUUUUCCUUCCUUCCUUUAUAUACUCUUUUCUUUUCCUUUUCCUUCCUUCUAGUUUUCCUUUCUUUUUCCCUCCAAACAAACACAUAAAUAUAGAAUAAACAUAACUUAACAAAUAUCUCAAAAUAUCUAGAUAUUUGUUAAAUUACCAUUUCACCCGAAACGCAUUAAAUUCUCCGUAAAGGAUUCACCGCAGUUAAUUUAAUUUAUUCAUCGACGAGUAAUUCCAAACGGCAUCAAAAUAACUUUUUGAUCAUAUAAACUUCAAAAUAUUAUUAACUUUGGCUAAAAAGCCUCCGAGCUCAAAAUCCAAAAUACAUAAAAAUACAUAAAGUGUACUUUAAAAUUAUGGGUCUUACAUUGCGCAAUUGCAUCGUUAUUAUCACAGUAAAGUCAAUCGGAUCCACAAAUGCCAAGAACUAUAUAUAGGUCAACAAUAGCUUUUUUACCAAACAACCUCCUUUGUUGCAUUAGAGGCAACAAUGUACUUGACCUUUGUAGUUGAAUCAACGUUUGUCUCCUACUUUGAACUCUUCGAACUCACAGCGCCACUAUUCAGACGAAACACAUAGCCAAACUGCGAUCUUGAGUCAUCUUUAUCAGUUUGGAAGUUAGCAUCAGUGUAACCCUUUAGGAUGAGUUCUUUCUCAUCACCAUACACUAAUCAAUGAAACCUUAGUCCUUCUCAAAUACUUUAGGAUGUUCUUAGCUGUGGUCCAGUGACCUUCACCGAUUUUCUCACGAGAAUCUAUAAGAGUUACAUGCAUAAAGUAUUGUUAGAUGAUUGAAUGAUUAAAUUUAAUAAGAUUUGAUUUAAUUAGAUGUUACUCACUAAAUAUGAUUUAUUAUUUAAUAUAUUUUUAAUUUAUGUAAUUGAAUAUGAUUUGGUUAAAUAAAUGAGGAUUGACAAUUAAUUCAAUUUAAUUAGACAUAGUUUAAUUUAAAAAUAAUUUAUAUUUAAUUAAAAUAGUUUAAUUUAAUAUCAUUUUUAGAACUUAUUUUGGCUUGAGCCCAAAAUAGGAGUUUUAAGGUUUUAGUGGCUCAUUCUCUAUAAAUAGAGGAAUGGUACACUCUCCAAGUAAUCAUGAUUGCCACUACCCUCAUAGAUUGACUAGCACCGCGUUCCGUUUUGUGCUCAUGUAGGCUAUGUAGAGAUGUAGAUAAUAUCCACGUUGGUGAUCAAAGUUAAAGCAUGAUUCAAAAGAGAUGUUUCGUGUUGGUGAUCUUUCUCCUCGAUGUUUUAAGAGGUAAACACAUAAACCCUUAUAGUAAAAUUUUGUGCUCACAUGAUCAUUGGCUAAAGGGGUUUUCUGCUCAUGACAAUGAUUUUAAAAAGGGUUCUUAAAGUCUAUCUCAAGAUUCCACAACAGUUGUUUCGUCAAGAUAUAAAUGGAUGCUAUUACUAGAAGGGAUUGUGCAAAUGAUCUUUGGCUUCCAAUAUUCUUGAGGUAUUUGUGUUUCAUAUUACAAUUUCCAACAGUUCAAACACUUUGUAAAUCAUCAUGAUAAGCAAAGGAAAACUCAAAAAAAAUUCUCAAGGGGAACCACGUGCCAUGAACCAACCGAUUUCCAUAUUUUUUGAAAGCUUUUGAUGUCAAUUUCAUAAAAUGAUUGGUGUAUUUCCUUUAGACAUUGUAACUCUACGAUGAAGGUUAUUCUUGUAAAUUGCCAAAACUAGUUGAUAUUCAUCUUCUCGAAUUUUGAUAGCACUUUUUGAUGUAGAGUUUUGAUAAUUAACUCAACUUAAUGGUGCAUGAAUUUUGGAGAGCUUGGGGCAAAAAUUUAACUAUGGAUUGUAGAGUGUUGACCGACCCAACUAUGUUGGUCGGAGGAGUUUUUGUGACAAUUGUAAGACCCAUAAUUUUAAAGUACCCUUUAUGUAUUUUUGGUGUAUUUUGGAUUUUGACUCGGAGGCUUUUUAGCCAAAGUUAAUAAUUAUUUGGAGUUUUUAUAUUCAAAAAGAUAUUUUGUUGCCGAUUAGAACUUCUCAUCGAUAAAUAAAUUGAAUUAACUGCGGUGAAUCCUUUACGAAUAAUUUAAUGCGUUUCGGGUGAAACGGUAAUUUAACAAAUAUCUAGAUGUUUUGAGAUAUUUGUUAAGUUACAUUUAUUAUCUAUGUAUGUUUGUUUGGAGGGAAAAAGAAAGGAAACCUAGAAGGGAGGAAAAGGAAAAGAAAAUAGUAUAAAAGGAAGGAAGGAAAAAGGAAGAAAGGAAAAAGAAAGGAAAGAAAAAGAAAGGAAAGAAAAAGAAAGGAAAGAAAAUCGCCAAUUUCCAUCUCCUUCCUCUGAACCGUGAACCGAUUUCCCUCCUUCUCCCGUUUUCAUUUUCGUCGCUUUCUUUUCUUCAAAACUAGUAACCCAAGGUUGGGUGAGAGUUAGAACAAGGAUUUCGCAACUCCACUCUUCCUCUUUGAUCCGAAAACGAAGAAAAACGGUAUUUGAGAUUCAAACACAAACCCCUCCGUUUCUUCUAGAUCCGAGCUUCAUUUAGCGAAGAGUUAGAAGGGAAAGUUGCUCACCACCACGCCACGGUGCUAGGGGACCAAUUUGGAGGCGACGUUGCGAGCAAAGAUUUUACCGGCUUUACUCGCGGUACUGGAAAACUACGUUGAAGCUAGCGUUAAGGUAAGGGCUCCUUCCAAACUUUUAGUUGCAUUAGGGACUUAUUUGUGGUUGUGUGGGAAGGAAUUUGUCAGGGUUCGAUGUAUUGAUUUGGGGAAAAACGAAUCUAAUGCGUUAUGGGUAAAACCUUAGAGUUAGGUUUUGGUUAUAUGGAUGAAUGUUCUGUGUUAAAUGAACCUAAAAUCACUUGUGUAUGAUUAUGAGUAAAUGAAAUUGAUGUGUUUGAGUGUUAUGUUGUGUUGAUUGUGUUCGUCGUGUUUGACGUGUUCUAAGUUAAUACCGAUGAAUUUGAUGUGUUUUGGUGGGCGUUGUGAAUUGAAUUUGAUAAAAUGUUUUGAGACGGAUUUGUUGUGAAAAUGGAAAACCAUUAGAGUUAAACGAGUAUUGAAAAUGGGGAAUUUUUUAAUACCUCGGUUUACUUAAUGUGCGUCUGAGGAAAAUGUUUAAGUUAACUGGGUAUUAAGAAUGGGGAAUCUCUUAAUGUCUCGGUUACUUAAUGUUUGUUUUGAAAAUCACUUCAGUAAAUGAGUAUUAAGAAUGGGGAAUCUCUUAAUGUCUCGUUUACUGAAUGUUUUGUGUGGAAAUCGUUUAAGUCAAAAGUAUAUUAAGAAUGGGGAAUCUCUUGAUAUGUCUGUUUGCUUAACGUUUUGUUUUGAAAAUCAUUAAGAUAAAUCAGUAUUAAGAAUGGGGAAUCUCUUAAUGACUUAUUUAUUUAAUGUUGUUUUGAAAAUCGCUUAAGUUAAAUGGGUAUUAAAAAUGGGGAAUCUUUUAAUAUCUGCAUUUGCUUAACGAUUGUUGUGGAUGGAGUCUGUGUAUGCUCAUGCAUUUCAUUUUGGUAAAUUGUGUUGACCCGUGAUAGGUGACACCUUGGUAAACUGUACUGACCCGUGAUAUGUGGUACGUUUACGAUUUCCGUUUUUGGUAAAUUGUGCUGACCCGUGAUAGGUGGCACCUCUGUAAACAAUACUGGUCUGUGAUAGGCAGUACGUUUACGAUUCCCGCUUUUUCUUUUAGUAAAUCGUGUUGACCCGUGAUAGGUGACACCUCGGUAAACUGUACUGACCCGUGAUAGGUGGUACGUUUAUGAUUUACGCAUUUUAGUAAAUCGUGCUGACCCGUGAUAGGUGGCACCUAGGUAAACAAUACUGGUCUGUGAUAGGCGGUACGUUUACGAUUCCCGCUUUUUCUUUUAGUAAAUCGUGUUGACCCGUGAUAGGUGACACCAUGGUAACUGUACUGACCCGUGAUAGGUGGUACGUUUAUGAUUUACGCAUUUUAGUAAAUCGUGCUGACCCGUGAUAGGUGGCACCUAGGUAAACAAUACUGGUCUGUGAUAGGCGGUACGUUUACGAUUCCCGCUUUUUCUUUUAGUAAAUCAUGUUGACCCGUGAUAGGUGACACCAUGGUAACUGUACUGACCCGUGAUAGGUGGUACAUUUACGAUUUACAUUUUUGGUGAAUUGUGCUGACCCGUGAUAGGUGGCACCUAGGUAAACAGUACUGGUCUGUGAUAGGCGGUACGUUUACGAUUCCCGCUUUUUCUUUUAGUAAAUCGUGUUGACCCGUGAUAGGUGACACCAGAUUGCCAAAUCGAUUGAUUCAGCCCAGGAUUCUGUUUUCAUUAAAAAACCUUCACCCCAAUCGAUUUCCCAAUCGAUUGGCUCAGUGAAAAUCCUCAGUUUGAGUUAGAUGAUUGAUUACUCACUAACUUAUCCAUGUCUUGUUUUGUUAUGUGUUAAUUAGGAGAUGGAGAACUUCAUUUUACUUUCAUUUUAAUUGGCAAAGUAUUGUAUGUACUUUUCGCAUAUUGAAAAUCCUGUUAAGGUGCAUGCUUAGUUGAAAAGUCAUUUUGAGCAUUUAAAAACUUAAUUGCUAUGUGUUAACUGUUAUUUUUGGUUGGUGACCCUUUACAAUUAUUGUGGAAAUCUGGGCUUUGCCCUUAGAUGAGAGUCAGGACGGUCCUACCGGUUAGUACCCUACGGACGGGAAUGGAGAUGGGAACGCUUCACUGCUGUUACGUUAAGAGGAUCUCACGGGGCGCGUGGUGAUACUCAGGGUGUAUAGCUUUUUGGUAGGAUGAUUAGAUUAGGAUGAUGUAUAGGGACUAGGUGUCCUUCUUUUUGGAUUGGAGUAUUCUUAGUUUGGAAAACUGUACUUAUACUAAUAUUGUCAGUUUGACUUCUUAUUUGAAUGGGUCCCAAGUACCAUUUGUUGUUGUGUAAAUGUCUUGGAAUUUAUAAUUGGAGAAACUUUUCCACUGCUUGUAAAUUUUAAUGACUCAAUUAUUUAUCCAAAGGCAUUUUCUUGUUUAUUUCUCAGUAUCAGUUUAAUUUCUUUUGAAAAAAAAAAUAUACCCUCGCUUUGAAAAACGGGGUGUUACAACAAUCCUUGCAAGCAUAAGUCAUGAAGAACAUACCAUAUGCGUUAUUUAUGCAUGACAACAAUUGACGAGAGAACCAUAAUGUCAACCCCAACAGCAACCGACAACUCAACAACAAUGACAACAAGAAACCAAAUGGAAAACAAAUGGAACCAUCAAUUAGAUUAAAUAAACCAAAUGUGAAUUAGAAGCCAACAUCAAUAGAGUGUCCAAACACGAAUCAAAAGCCAAACUUGAAUCAUAAUCCAAACACAAAAACAAAAACUAAACGUGAACACAAAUGCGAAAAUAGUUUCAACGCAUGAUGCGAAUUACAAAUUAAAUCUUAGUUAGAUUGACAAUAAAAGAAAACAAAGGUAAUACUAUUUUUACUAAAUUAUCCUCUGAUCAAAUAAUUUGGGCACAUGUUUUUAACUUUUUACUGUGGCAUUUUAAAAGCGUUGUAUAGCUUAGAUUAAUUUUUUUAGCUUGUUUUUAAACUUUGGGUCGAAUUGAAUUUGAAUUUUAUUAUUUACAUAUUAACUCAUGUUAGCGAUGUAGACCAUAACUUGAGCUCUGUUGGAAUAAAAACUCAAUGCUGAACUUUGUUGGGUCUAAAUUGCAUAUUUCAUUUUCUGGGUUUUUAUUUAUUACUAGUUUUAAGUAGCGAGCUUUAACGCCCCGAUUUUUAACAGCGCGAGUGUAUUUUUUUUUCAAAACAAAUUCAUAAUAACUAGGGAUGGGAAUAGGCUAGGCCGUCCGACAGGGGCCUAUGGCCUGACCUACUUACGGCCUGGCCUGGCCUGGCCUGUUUAAUAAAAAGGUCAGGCUCAGGCUGUUUUUAAAGCCUAUUUAUGUAAAUAGGCCAGGCUCAGGCUUGGAAAAAAGCUUAUUAAGCCUGACAAGCCGGCCUAUAUAUAUUUUAUAUGUAUUUCAUUCUCUAUUUUUUCUUCUUCUAAUUUCCAUUGCACUCACUCCAACAAACAUGUAUGAAAACAACAUAUUUUUUUUAUAAAAACCGAUAUUAUUUAUUUGUUACUUUAUAUUUUAUAAAAACCAAUACUAUUUAUUUGUUAUCUUUAUAUAUAUUAUUAGUAUAUAAAUUUAGAAACUCUAAUUGUUUAUUAUUACUGAAUAUGAGUUUGUUUGAGAGGUAAUAUUCCGAGUUGUUUGAGAGGAUUUGUUUAGAGGUAAUAUUCUGAGCUGUUUGAGAGAUAAUAAUAGGUGUGUUUGUUUAAAUAAAAAAUUUAUUCUUUUAAAUCAAAAACUAUUUUGUAGGGUUUAAAAGGUAUUUGUUUCAUAUUUUUAAAAAAUUAUUUUGUUAGAAAAUAAUUUUUUUAUUUAAUAUAUAUAUACAUAUACUAUACAUAUACACAUUAGUAUUGGUAUAUGGAGAAUCAUAUAAAUCGAUAUGUGUAGAGUAUCAUGUAGCUAUAGAUAAUUGUUUAUUUAUUACCUUUAUAUAUAUAUAUAUAUAUAUAUAUAGCAUGAGAGGAUUUGUUUGAGAGGUAAUAAUCUGAGUUUAUUUGAGACCAUUUGUUUGAGAGAUAAUAAUGGGUGCGUUUGUUUUAAUAAAAAAUUUAUUCUUUUAAACCAAAAAUCAUUUUUUAGGGUUUAAAGGGUGUUUGUUUCAUAUUUUUUUUUUAAAUUAUUUUGUUAGAAAAAUUAUUUUUAAUGUAAAUAAGGCUUUUAAAUAGGCUUAUAGGCCAGGCCAUGAUAGGCCGUAGGCCAGGCCAGGCUUAGGCCUAAAAAAUUCUUCGUAGGCCAGGCUCAAGCCUUUCAAAGCCUGGCCUGGCCUGGCCUAUUCCCACCCCUAAUAAUAACAAAGAAAUAAAUAAGGAAAUACUUUUGGAUAAAUAUUUAAGUCGUAACACAACGACAAAUAAGUCAACAGAAUUCACAAGCAGCGAAAUAGUUUUUGAAAUAUGAGUCCAAAGUAUUUACACAACAGCCAGUGAUACAUGGAAUCCAUUAACAUAAGAUGUCGUGCUGACAAUANNNNNNNNNNNNNNNNNNNNNNNNNNNNNNNNNNNNNNNNNNNNNNNNNNNNNNNNNNNNNNNNNNNNNNNNNNNNNNNNNNNNNNNNNNNNNNNNNNNNNNNNNNNNNNNNNNNNNNNNNNNNNNNNNNNNNNNNNNNNNNNNNNNNNNNNNNNNNNNNNNNNNNNNNNNNNNNNNNNNNNNNNNNNNNNNNNNNNNNNNNNNNNNNNNNNNNNNNNNNNNNNNNNNNNNNNNNNNNNNNNNNNNNNNNNNNNNNNNNNNNNNNNNNNNNNNNNNNNNNNNNNNNNNNNNNNNNNNNNNNNNNNNNNNNNNNNNNNNNNNNNNNNNNNNNNNNNNNNNNNNNNNNNNNNNNNNNNNNNNNNNNNNNNNNNNNNNNNNNNNNNNNNNNNNNNNNNNNNNNNNNNNNNNNNNNNNNNNNNNNNNNNNNNNNNNNNNNNNNNNNNNNNNNNNNNNNNNNNNNNNNNNNNNNNNNNNNNNNNNNNNNNNNNNNNNNNNNNNNNNNNNNNNNNNNNNNNNNNNNNNNNNNNNNNNNNNNNNUGGGGCUAAAUCAAUCGAUUGGGAAAUCGAUUGAAUGAAUAACUGAGCCCCUGUGUUAAAGCCAAUCGAUUAGGAAAUCGAUUUCCUGAGAGUUUUUCGUGAAAACUGUACUCUGGGCUUAAUUCAAUCGAUUGGGAAAUCGAUUGAGUGAAUAACUGAGCCCUUGUAUUAAAGCCAAUCGAUUUCCAAAUCGAUUUUGUCAAAAUGGCUGAGCUCCUGUAAUGAAUCCAAUCGAUUGCCAAAUCGAUUUUGAGGAAUAGCUUUUAGUAGAAUCGAUUUGGGAAUCGAUUUCCCUGCAUGUUUUUCUUAAAACUACAUAAACUAACUCAAUCACAUUCACACACAACUCCAAAACAUAACACUUAGCAAUUUCCACACAAUCACCACGACAACUUGAGUUUCGAAACAAUUUUACAAUCAAUUUCACUUAUACACAAUUUGUUCCACAACAUAGACACUUAGUACAAUCAUCACAAUCACAAUUGUAAGACCCAUAAUUUUAAAGUAUACUUUAUGUACUUUAGUGUAUUUUGGUAUUGAACUCGGAGGCUUUUUAGCCAAAGUUAUUAAUAUUUUGGAGUUUAUAUGACCAAAGAGAUAUUUUGAUGCCGAUUAGAAUUACUCGUCGAUGAAUGAAUUAAAUUAGUUGCGGUGAAUUAUUUACGGAGAAUUUAAUGCCUUACGGGUGAAAUGGUAAUUUUAAUAAAUAUCUAGAUAUUUGGAGAUAUUUGUUAAAAGUAAUUAAUAUAAAUAUAUAUAUUAUAUAUAUAUAUAUAUAUAUAUAUAUAUAUAUAUAGUUGGAGGGAUAUAGGAGAAAAGGAAAUAGAAAAGAAAGGAAAGGAAAUAGAAAGGAAAGAAAGAGAGAGGAGAGAAAACAAUUUUCCAUCUUCUUCCAUCUGUCGCUCCACCCAUUCUUCCUCCUUCUUCCAUCUUCAUCUUCUUUGCUUCCUUUUUGUUCAAGAAUAGAAACCCAAGGCUAGUGGGUGAGAAAGAUCAAGUUUCCAACACCUUCCUCCUUCCCGGAUUCAAAAACGAUGUUAUGGAUUUCAAAACCGUCAAACACAAACCUCCCUGUUUAAUCUAGAUCUAAGCUUCGUUUCGCGAAGAGAUAGAAGGGAAAGUUGCUCACUACCACGCUACGGUGCUAGGGAACCAACUUUGGAAGCGGCGUUGCGAACGGAGAAUUUACCGGAUUUACUCGCGGUACCAUGUUCGCACGUUAAAGCUAACGUUAAGGUAAGGACUCCUUCCAAACUUCUAGUUUGCAUUUAGGGACUUAUCUGUAGUUGUGUGGAAAGGAAUUUGUUAGGGUUGAAUGUAUUGAUUUAAGGAAAAUGAAUCUAAGGUUCUGUGGGUAAAAUCUUAGAGUUAGGUUUUGACGAUAUUGAUGGAUAUUUCGUGGAAAAUGAAUUUAACUCAUAUGUGUAUGAUUAUGAGUAAAUGAAAUUUGAUGUGUUUGAGUGUUAUGUUAUGUUGAUUUGUGUUCGUCGUAUUUGACGUGUUCUACGUUAAUACCGAUGAAAUUUGAUGUGUUUUGGUGUGGAUUGUGAAUUGAAUUUGAUAAUAUCUUUGAGUUGGCUUUGUUGUGGAAUUUGAAAACCAUUAGAGUUAAACGAGUAUUAAAAAUGGGGAAUCUUUUAAUACCUCGGUUUACUUAAUGUGUGUUUGAGAAAAUCGUUUAAGUUAAACGAGUAUUAAGAAUGAGGAAUCUCUUAAUGUCUACGUUUACUUAAUGUUGGCGUGAAAACCAUUAGAGUUAAACGAGUAUUAAAAAUGGGGAAUCUUUUAAUAUCUCGGUUUACUUAAUGUGUGUUUGAGAAAAUCGUUUAAGUUAAACGAGUAUUAAGAAUGAGGAAUCUCUUAAUGUCCACGUUUACUUAAUGUUGGCGUGAAAACCAUUAGAGUUAAACGAGUAUUAAAAAUGGGGAAUCUUUUAAUAUCUCGGUUUACUUAAUGUGUGUUUGAGAAAAUCGUUUAAGUUAAACGAGUAUUAAGAAUGGGGAAUCUCUUAAUAUUUCUGUUUACUUAAAGUUUGUGUUGAAAAUCGUUUAAGUCAAAAGAGUAUUAAGAAUGGGGAAUCUCUUAAUAUUUCUGUUUACUUAAAGUUUGUGUUGAAAAUCGUUUAAGUCAAAAGAGUAUUAAGAAUGGGGAAUCUCUUAAUAUUUCUGUUUACUUAAAGUUUGUGUUGAAAAUCGUUUAAGUCAAAAGAGUAUUAAGAAUGGGGAAUCUCUUAAUGUCUACGUUUACUUACCGUGGUAAUCGUGUAGGAAUUGCUAAGUGUUAGGUUGUGAACUUGAUUAGGAAUGACUUGAGUUAAUGCAUGAAUUUUUGGAAAAACGAUCAGGGAAAUCGAUUUCCCAAUCGAUUGGAUGAGUUGCAGGAAGUUCACCAUUUUGACCUAAUCGAUUUGCCAAUCGAUUGUAUAAAUAUAUCUUUCAAAAUCUUUUAAGAAAUCGAUUUGGAAAUCGAUUGGCAGAGAGGCAGGAACUCAGCAAAACUGCCGAAAUCGAUUUGGAAAUCGAUUUGGCAACCCAGGGACUCAUCAGAACUGACAAAAUCGACUUAGAAAUCGAUUUGGUCAUGCAGAAACUCAGCAGAACUGACCAAAUCGAUUUGGCAAUCGAUUGGCUCAGCAAAAGUCCUUAUUUUGAGUUAGAUAAUCGAUUGCUCAAUUGAUUUAUCAAUGCUUUGGUCAGUUAUGUAUUACUUGAUGGUUUGAGAACUUCAUUUUGAUUUCAUUUUUAAUUGGCAAGCAUUACAUGAACUUUUAGCAUAUGAGAAAUCCUUUUAAGGUGCAUGCUUAGUUGAAAGAUUAUUUUGUGCAUUUAAAACUUAAAUGUUAUGUGUUAUUUGUUAAUUUCGGUUGGUGACCCUUUACAACUAUUGUGGAAAUCUGAGCGUGGAGAUCACUCAGGGUGUAUAGUUUUUGGUAGGAUGAUCAGAUUAGGUUGAUGUAUAGGGACUAGACGUCCUUCUUUUUGGGUUGGAGUAUUUUAAUUUGGAAAACUGUACUUAUACUAAUAUUGUCAGUUUGACAUCUUAUUUGAAUGGGUUCCAUGUACCAUUUGUUGUUGUGUAAAUGCUUUGGAUUUAUAUUUGGAGAAACUUUUCCGCUGCUUGUAAAUUAUAAUGACUCUAUUAUUUAUCCAAAGGCAUUUCCUUAUUUAUUUCUCUGUUUUAGUUUAAUUUCUUUUGAAAAAAAAAUACACCCUCGCAUUGAAAAUCUGGGUGUUACAACAAUGACAUCUCAAGUUCAAACACUCAAUCAUACACUUGAAUCAAACACGACUCGUGUGUCAAGCAUCCUAAUGCAAUGCGUAUAUGCCAAAAUGCAUGGACUCGGAAUUCCAAACCAAAACCCUCCUCGAAGGGCCGUAAAUCAUAAUUGUACCGCCUAUCGCAGGCCAAAGUACCAAUUACCGAGGUACCACCUAUCACGGGUCUGCACGAUUUACUAAAAAGCGUAAACCAUAAACGUACUGCCUAUCACGGGCACGUACCGUUUACCGAGGUGCCACUUAUCACGGGUCUGCACGAUUUACUAAAAAGAACGUAAAUUAUAAAUGCACCGCCUAUCACAGACCAAAGUGCUAUUUACCAAGGUGCCACCUAUCACGGGUCUGCACAAUUUACAAAAACGUAAAUCAUAAAUGUACCGCCUAUCACAGGCCAAAGUACUAUUUAUCAAGGUGCCACCUAUCACGGGUGUGCACGAUUUACAAAAAGAAUGAAAAUGCAUUGAGCAUAUACUGACUCCAUCCACAACAAUNNNNNNNNNNNNNNNNNNNNNNNNNNNNNNNNNNNNNNNNNNNNNNNNNNNNNNNNNNNNNNNNNNNNNNNNNNNNNNNNNNNNNNNNNNNNNNNNNNNNNNNNNNNNNNNNNNNNNNNNNNNNNNNNNNNNNNNNNNNNNNNNNNNNNNNNNNNNNNNNNNNNNNNNNNNNNNNNNNNNNNNNNNNNNNNNNNNNNNNNNNNNNNNNNNNNNNNNNNNNNNNNNNNNNNNNNNNNNNNNNNNNNNNNNNNNNNNNNNNNNNNNNNNNNNNNNNNNNNNNNNNNNNNNNNNNNNNNNNNNNNNNNNNNNNNNNNNNNNNNNNNNNNNNNNNNNNNNNNNNNNNNNNNNNNNNNNNNNNNNNNNNNNNNNNNNNNNNNNNNNNNNNNNNNNNNNNNNNNNNNNNNNNNNNNNNNNNNNNNNNNNNNNNNNNNNNNNNNNNNNNNNNNNNNNNNNNNNNNNNNNNNNNNNNNNNNNNNNNNNNNNNNNNNNNNNNNNNNNNNNNNNNNNNNNNNNNNNNNNNNNNNNNNNNNNNNNNNNNNNNNNNNNNNNNNNNNNNNNNNNNNNNNNNNNNNNNNNNNNNNNNNNNNNNNNNNNNNNNNNNNNNNNNNNNNNNNNNNNNNNNNNNNNNNNNNNNNNNNNNNNNNNNNNNNNNNNNNNNNNNNNNNNNNNNNNNNNNNNNNNNNNNNNNNNNNNNNNNNNNNNNNNNNNNNNNNNNNNNNNNNNNNNNNNNNNNNNNNNNNNNNNNNNNNNNNNNNNNNNNNNNNNNNNNNNNNNNNNNNNNNNNNNNNNNNNNNNNNNNNNNNNNNNACCUUAACAAAUUCUUUUCCACACAACCACAGAUAAGUCCCUAAAUGAAAACUAGAAGUUUGGAAGGAGCCCUUACCUUCACAUUAGCUUUAACGUGCAAUUACGGUACCGCGAGUAAAUCCGGUAAAAUCUCCGUUCGCAACGUCGCUCCAAAGUUUGUUCCCUAGCCCCGUAGCGUGGUAGUGAACAAAUUUCCCUUCUAUCUCUUUGUGAAACGAAGCUUAGAUCUAGAUGAAACGGUGAGGUUUGUGUUUGACGGUUUUGAAAUCCCUAACACCAUUUUUCUUCGUUUUCGAAACAACGAGGAAGUAUGAAGCUGAGAAAUCUUUGCUUUCUUACCCACUAAGCCUUGGGUUUCUAUUCUUGAACAAAAGGAAGAAGCAAAAAUGAAAAUGGAAGAAGGAGGAAGAAGGGGGUCACGCGAGGCAAAGGAAAAAGAUGGAUUUUGCUUUCUUGCUUUCUUUCCCUUUUCCUUUCUUUCUUUUUCCUUCCUUUCUAUUUCUUUUCUUUCUAUUUCCUUCUCUUUUCCCUCCACACAAACAUAUAUAUAUAUAUAUAUAUAUAUUAAUUACUUUUAACAAAUAUCUCCAAAUAUCUAGAUAUUUAUUAAAAUUACCAUUUCACCCAUAAGGCAUUAAAUUCUUCGUAAAGGAUUCACCGUACUUAAUUUAAUUUAUUUAUCGACGAGUAAUUUUAAUCGAGCAUCAAAUAUCUUUUUGGUCAUAUAAACUCAAAAAUAUUAAUAACUUUGGCUAAAAAGCCUCCGAGUUCAAUACCAAAAUACACUAAAAUACAUAAAGUAUACUUUAAAAUUAUGGGUCUUACACGGGCCAUUUGUUUUACAAGUCCAAAAACUGAGAACAAAGUAUAAGGUUAAGCAGUGGGCCAUUUGUUUCAUAAGACUAAUCAAUGAGUUCAAAGUUUUAUCAACACCUUGAGAUUCAGGUUACACUGUUAAUUUUGCUUCAUGAUUCUAUUUAUGUUUAUUUGAUUAUAUUGAUAUUCUAAUUGUGAUGCUUAAUCUAGUCAAAGAAAUCGAAUUCACAUAGGAUUGAUUACGCUUGUUUGAUCAAUUCUAUAGUCAAAUAAGAAAUAGAGUCACAAUUUAGAAAUUAAAUUCGUUGGUAGAAUCUAUAAUAAGUUUGAAACUCUCGAAAUAGUGGAUUAAUAAUUUUUUUAAUCUGUUCGAACAAAAAAUCUAAAAACCCCUUUUUUAAUUAUGACUUUCAAUUUGGCUAAUAUUAUCAUAUCAUUAGUCCAUACAAAAUACUUGAAUUAUUACAUUUAUCUACAUUUUAUCACUUGUAUUUGACCUGUGUGCGACACCAGAUUAUCCUCUUCAUGCAUUGAUGUGUUGACCAUUAUCAUAAAUACAAAGUAUAUAUAUUACUUGAGUGUGGGGCACAUACUAUUAAUAAGAGUAUGAUUCGGACUACAGUCAUUAAUAUCAUAUUUAAAAUUUAAAGUGAUAUUUAUUUUCAAUUAAUUUUGUUUUGCAAAAGUGAUGAUUAUAGUGUAACAAAGGAUAGUAUUAAAAUUUUGGCUGCCUUGGAUUUCAAAAAUCUACUUCUAUUUUCCAAGCGAUGCUGAUAUGCUUUAUUACCAUAUCAAUAUUACAAAAUCUACAUGUUUAAACAGAGAACAAGAAAGAACAAGAAAAUGCGGAAGUUAAAAUAUGAGUUACUAAUAAUUAGGGGUAGGAAUAGGCCAGGUCAAGUCAGACUUUGAAAUGCCUGAGUUUGGCCUACAAUAAAUUCUUUAGGCCUAAGUCUGACCUAUGACCUAUCAUGGACUUUUUUUUCGGUCUGCUCUAUCCUUUUUAAAAGUCUGACCUGACAUAAAAGCCAAUUUAAAAGCCUUAUUCACAUUAAAACAUUUAAAUAUUAUACUUUACAUUUUUUUAAAUAUGCUAAACUAGGACUUUAUAUACAAAAAAAACUAAUCAAAUUAUAAUCAAAUCUAAUAAAAUAAUACUUAAUCAAUGCAACAACUUUUGAAGAAAAAAAUGAUUCUAUAAUUAGUCCAUAUACACAUAUCAAGCAACAUGAUGCUCUAUCCUUACCAAUUUACAUGAUGCUCUACCCAUACCAAUUUACAUGAUGCUCUCCACAUACCAAUACUAAUGUACAUAUGUAUAGAUAUAUAUAUAUAUAUAUAUAUAUAUAUAUUCUGGAGAUUUAUUUUUUUUUUUUUAUAUAAAAAAAAAAAAGAAUAAAUAUUAAACAAAAAAUGAUUUUUGUAACAAAGUGAUUUUAAAAAAUUCUGAAACUAACACCAUUUAAACCCUAAAAUAUGAUUUUUGAUUACAAAGAAUAGAUUUUUUUUUCAUUAAACAAACGCACCCAUUAUUACCUCUCAAACAAAUUCUCUCAAAAAAACUCGGACAUAUUCAGUAAUAAUAUAAUUAAUUUUAUUAUCAACUCUAAAACACUUCUAAAGGGACUGCACCUAUUUUAUGCAUUUUUUUACUAUUUUUUACAAACUCACAUAUACUAGUUUGAUUUAUGAUUUAUUUUUAUUUAUAAAACCUAAAUCUAGAACAACUUCAAUGGAGUUUCUAGAAAAGUGUUAACAGAUUUUACAAAGGCUAACUUUAUUUAAGGAUACAAUGAUAAAAUUAAAAAAAAAAUUAAGAUUUUGAAGUAGUAAAUAUUGAAAUCUUUCAUAGUAUAAUAAUUAAAUAAUAAUAUGAACGAUUGAACUUGAAAAGAACGGGAGAAGAAAAGGACAGGGAUAAUAAUGAAUGGCUAUUGGAUGUGGAACGACCAUUGAGUGAUAGCCUAAUUGAUAUAUUGAUAUAGGCUUUAAAAUAGGAAUAAUAUUAUUAAUAAACAAUAAUAAAAAAAAGAACAUUAAUAAAUAAUAAAAUAUAUAUAGGUCGGCCUGUCAGGUAUGAAAGACUUUUUUAUACGUUUGAAUUUGCCCUAUUUAAAUAAAUAGGCUUUAAAAAUAGUUUGAACCUAACAUUUUUAUUAAACAGGCCAGACCAGACCAUAACUAGGCUGACCGCAAACCCCUAAAUGACGGUCUAACCUAUUCCCACCCCCUACUGACCAUUAAUAAUGUUUAUUUUUUCCUUUGCAAAAAUGCAAUAGAUAGGCCAAAGAUUUACUUUUAAGAAAAAAAACAUUAAUUAUUUUGUGAGAAUAUAAUAAAAAAUUAUAGGUUGGAUCAUCACAUAUUACAACAUUACAAAAUGCAUUUGCAUAGCUUUUGAAACUAUAGUUAUGCAUGUUUAUAAAUAAUUUGGUUGAAACAUUUAGCUCUUCAAUGUAUAAAAAGACAGAUGAAGUGACUUCUUUGCAGACAAUUAUAUGAAAAGAAAAAGAAAAAGAAAUAUUAAGUAAUUAGUGUGCUAUUAGUUCCCCGAUAUUUUUUUUAUUAUCUUUAAUUGUAAUAUGUAUUUUAACUUAUAUAAAUAAAUGCUAAAAAAAUCUAAAAAGAGUAUAUAAUAGUUAGAAGGCCGUAAAUUUUUAUAUAAGUCAAACCGCUUUAUACAAAGCCUAUUUAAUUUACUAUAGACACAUGGUGUAGCAAAAUAGAACAUAAAUUUAUACUUAAAUAUGAUUUAUUAAAGUAUUUGUGAUUACAAAUGACCUAAAAGAUCAAUAAGUAGCAACACAAUUUUAUUUAUUUGUAAAUUUGGAGUAAAAGAGCAUAAUUUUUUAAUCAUGAUUUCAUUCAUGACACAUUGGUAACUUGUUCCUCUUAUUAAAUAGAUAUUAAUAUGUUUUGUUGCAUGGAUAAUUUAGAAAUGGAUUUGACAUUUGGGGGAUUUUAAUGUCUGUUAAAAAAACGUGUUUUACGUCUUGGUGGAGGGGGAUGCCAUGGAAUAUGGGGAGUAUGCUUUGCAGGAGGGGGAGAGCGCCUGCGUAAGCGGUCGCGUAAACCUUGCCAAUUAAUGUCGAGUUGUCCUUUUAUGUCGUAAUUAGGUGGUUUAGGAAUUGGUGUCUUGGAGAUUUUUGGGCUUACAUCAGCAAGUCCUUGUGAAACAAGGAUAAGAGCCGCAAGGAACAACAUUAGUAAGGUUAAGAAAUUCGAAACCAUUUUCAUAAGUUGUUUUAAUGUUUCUACAUUACAUAUAAAGAAUAAUCAUAUUUUAUACUAGUUUGUAGCCCAAAUGGGUUUGCAAUGUCUCAAUCUGAGUUAUAUGUGUUGUCCUUUAUUAUCAUUGGCUCUCAACACAUGUUAGUCUUUUCUAUUAAUUCAACACCAUAUUUUAGGACCAAAAAGAUACAUUAACUAUUAUUGAUAGAGUAAAAUUAAAAUUUACAUUAAUUUAAAAUUGGAUUUUAUUUGUAUAUAUGAUUAUUCGAAACCAUAUUAGCCAUAUAGAAAUUUGUUGAUAUAUUUUAGAAGCUAACUUAAAAAAAUUAAAAUAGCGUUAAAGUGUAAUUUAAUUGGAGACAUUGUUUACGUAAUUAAAUGUUACAUUUUUUAUUUUUGUAUUCAACUUAAAAAAUUAAUAUCUAUAGCUGCGAAUAAAAGAUAUCUACUUUAAUUAUACAAAAAUACAUAAUCGUUCAAUUUAUUGAUUCAAUGCGACGUUAACAAUAAAAUAGAAUAAAGACUUAUUGCAACAAAUAGGAUUAGCUACAAGGCUAAACCUACGUCGCAAAAGGUUGGGUGAAAAAUAUAAUAUUGAUAUUUAUGCAACUAUAUUCCAACCCGUUCUACCUUAGUCUUAUUUUUUAUUAAUCGCUUCAAAUCACCCAUGAAACUUCGAAAUGCAAACUUCCACCAAUAUUAAACUGGUUCCCUGGGCAUAACUUCGUAAGGUUAACUUUGGUCAAUGAGUUUAAAACAUUGUUUGAAAAUAAACUAAAUACAAUCCGAAGUAAGGGUUCCAUGAAAACAUGAUGAGCACACUAUAUCAAAAUAUGGAUUUUAUAGCACAUCUUUAAUAGCGAUUGUUAAAUAAAAAUAUUGUUGUAUUAUGUUUUAAAAAUACACGGAGUCUUAGACAAUGUUUUUUUGAAAAGCAAUGUCAUAUGUACUAAUAACAAAGCCUUUAACAACGUUUUUUUAUAAAAGCGCUGACAUAUGAUCAUAAUAUUUAAAGUGUUUUUGUUAUAAGUGUUGUCAUAGUGUAUUUUAACGUGCUUAUCAAAAAAGCAAUGUCAUAGGAUCUCAUAAAGUUUUUACUUUUUAAAGUCUCACUUUUAAUUUUAUGCAUGUAAUUGGUUUUAUUCACCAAACCCUCUAUGCGAACUAAUUUCUUCACUUUAUUUGUGAACUCUCCCAAACCCUUUUUGAAAAGUAGUUUCUUCACCUAAUAACUGGUUUUGGUUUUCUUUACCAAACCUUAAUUUUGUCGUCGCAUCUUUGUUGGGGAGUCAAUGGGAGCGCGACAUCCGGAAUGAGCUAAAUAUCAAGGAUUCUUAAGAGACUUAGACACCACAUCUCAACCCAAAACCUUAAGGCAUUAGGUUCAUAGGUCAUUCUCCUUAUAUAUCCAAUAUAGCCUUCAUUCCUAGUCAAUGUGGGACUAAACAUCAAGGAUUCUUAAGAGACUUAGACACCACAUCUCAACCCAAAAUCUUAAGGCAUUAGGUUCACGGGUCAUUCUCCUUAUAUAUCCAAUAUAGCCUUCAUUUCUCGCCAAUGUGGGACUAACCAUUCAUAAUUGAAUUCCAACAAAUCUCCCCCUCGAUUAUGAGUUCCCACCACUGGACUUGAUCCAAGUCCUUUUUGCUCUUGAUCCACUUGAUGCAAAAGGUGGGUCAAGAAUAGAGUCUAAGAGAUCAAACUCCCUUUUCACCGUACAUCAGAGGCAGUUGAUGAAACACUGAUGCAACCCACUAUUACUAUAAGUGCAGAGGUACGCCUAAAAGGGAGAGGGGUGAAUUAGGUUUUAGGAUAUUUUCUUGUUUUCAGUGAUAUGGUAGUUGAAUUUUCAGAGUUAAUAUAAUGACUAAUAAUAAGUAAGUGCGGUAAAUAAAUGAACACACUAGAAUUAUCCUAGUUCCCCUUCUAACCAAGGGUACGUCUAGUCCUCUUGCACACCACACGAGAUUACUCCACUUAUUGUCAGAAAAUGUACAAUGAUUUCAAUCCAAUAAUACUUCAAGUACUUUGAGAAUCUUUCAGAAGGAUAUGAAACUAAAAUGCAAGUACUUUGUAAAAAACAAAAUUUUGUUCAAAGUUAUUCAUGGUAUUGAUUCAAGGAUUGUGUUGUGUUUGAUAUGAAGUUAUGGCGUAUUUAUACUCCAUAAACAUCUCUUUAGAUUCGUGGUAAAUGAUCCAAGAGGUUUGAUGAACAAAUACAAUGAUAUAGAGCCAUUUCAUAUCUGAAAAAUUGUAUUGCUUCCAGUUGUAUUCGAUUACAGGAUGUGUGUAUUCGAAUACACCUCUUUGUAACGUUCAAAUUUAUUCAAAAUUUGCACCUUGUAUUUGAAUACACCUUUCAUGUAGUCGAUUACAGAUACGUGAAAUUUUCUACUGACUUACUUUGUAUUCGAAUACACCUCUUGUGUUAUGUUUGAUAUGAAGUUAUGGCGUAUUUAUACUCCAUAAACAUCUCUUUAGAUUCGUGGUCAAUGAUCCAAGAGGUUUGAUGAACAAAUACAAUGAUAUGGAGCUAUUUCAGAUCUGAAAAAUUGUAUUGCAUCCAGUUGUAUUUGGAUACAGGAUGUGUGUAUUCGAAUACACCUCUUUAUAACUUUCAAAUUUAUUCAAAAUUUGCACCUUGUAUUUGAAUACACCUUUCAUGUAGUCGAUUACAUAUACGUGAAAUUUUCUACUGACUUACUUUGUAUUCGACUACAGAAGGUCGUAGUCGAAUACAGAUGCAAAGAUUUUAGCCACUAAAUUGCUAUGUAUUCGACUACAGAUGGUCGUAGUCGAAUACAAAUGUGAGGCUUUUUCUUCUGACUUACUUUGUAUUCGACUACAGCAUGCUGUAUUCGAAUACCUUUUGUAUUUUGUCAAAAAUAUUUGUUUUAAGACUUUGUUAAUGUGAUUUUGACUUUUGAAAAUACUUUAUAUGCAUAUGUAAAUAUGAAUGGUUCUCAUGUAUUUGAGGUAUUUGUUUGUAUCGUUUACCUUUACAUGUAAACACCUAAUAUGUUUGGAUUUAAAGCUUUUAUUAAUGAAGAUAUUUGAACUUCUUUUUGAGCUUGUUGCUUUGAUCAUAAUUGUUGAUCUUUGCCGUCAUAAAAAACAUGUAGUUUACAAUUACUAGUGAAGAGAUUGAAAGGUUGCAAACAUCAAUUCUAGAUGGGGAAGAAGAAAACAAGAAUUUUCGAGAAGAAUUGGUCAUCGAGCAUAUGAGACCGCCCAGAUGGAAAAUGAGCAGAAGACAAUUUCCCUUAAAAGAUCAAAUACGACGGCAAAUGUGGAGGAAGAUUUUUGGCUCAAGUGUCAACACAAUUUAAGGAUCUCUUACGUGUCCUUAUGUUUGAGAUGAGAAGAAAGAGACCAAGCACGAGAGAAUGUUGAUAAAUUGUAAAAUUGGUUUAAAGAUUCAUAAAUCAGUGAGAAAAAUGAAUAAAGACAAUUGAAAUAUUCGAAACAACAAUUGAAGAAAGCGGUAGUAGAAUAUAAGAUAAGGAUAGAAGAACCAAAUAAUGAAAGACAAGAAAUGGUUGUCAUGUACCAAGAUACAAGGAUGACGGAACAAGAAGAGGUAAAUAUGUUCAGGAUCCGAAUGAUGGAUCAAGUGAAAGCAAUAAAGAUAUUUUGGCAAUACGGGUUAAUGUGGAUGGAUCGUUGCGAAAAACUCUCUUUCAUUGCCAACCAAGCCAUAAAAAAGGUCCUCGUACUCCUAAGAAAAGUAGAAGCGCGAAUAGUUCCAUCCGCCACACUUGCUGCAAUUAUUAGUUGCAUUCAACAUUGUAAUAAUUUUAUAGAAGCAAUGAAUGGUUUAAUUCACAUAGAUCAAUAAAAAAGAAUGUAUUUUGAUAUAAAACUAUGGCACUUGUACCCUUUUAAUUAUCAAUGAACAAGUUUAUUUUGCGUUUUCUCUACAUAUGCGUUUGGUUUUGAUGCAUGAUCCCGACAAGAUGCUAGUGUCUAGGUUGUGAAAUAAAUGGUUCUAUAAUAUUCACAUGCAUCUAAUUGAAGGAAAAUGUUGAUUGAAUCGUAGAGGCUAUAUAAGCUUUGGCAAUGAAGGAGAGUAAGCAUACGAAUCCUCUCGUUCUGGUUCUGUUUUUGUCUCUUGUUUUGGUGGUAUCCUCUAAUCGUAUCCUCAUCAAAUAUUUGGUUCCAUUUUUGCCUCUAGUGGUAUCAUUCGGUUCUGUUUCUACCACUUGUUUUGGUUCUCUCUCUGGUGUUGGUGGUAUCCUCUAGUUGUACCAUUUUCUAGUAUCAUCUGGUUCCAUUUCGUUUCUGCCUUUGGUGAUAUUCUCUGGUGGCAUCCUCUGCUCGUAUCUUCUUUUGGUAUCUUCUAGUGAUAUUGUAACACCCCGAUUUUCAAAGCGAGGGUGUAUUUUUUUUUUCAAAAGAGAUUAAACUAAAACAGAGAAAUAAAUAAGGAAAUGCCUUUGGAUAAAUAAUUGAGUCAUUAUAAUUUACAAGCAGCGGAAAAGUUUCUCCAAAUAUAAAUCCAAAGCAUUUACACAACAACAAAUGGUACAUGGAAGCCAUUCAAAUAAGAUGUCAAACUGACAAUAUUAGUAUAAGUACAGUUUUCCAAAUCAAAAUACUCCAACCCAAAAAGUAGGACGUCUAGUCCCUAUACAUCAACCUAAUCUGAUCAUCCUACCAAAAACUAUACACCCUGAGUGAUCUCCACGCGCUCCGUGAGAUCCUCCUAACGUAGCUGCAGUCAAGCGUUCCCAUCUCCAUUCCCGUCCGUAGGGUACGAACCGGUAGGAUCGUCCUGACUCUCAUCUGAGGGCAAAGCCCAGAUUUCCACAAUAAUUGUAAAGGGUCACCAACCGAAAUUAACAGAUAACACAUAACAUUUAAGUUUUAAAUGCACAAAAUAACCUUUCAACUAAGCAUGCACCUUAAAAGGAUUUUCCAUAUGCUAAAAGUUCAUAUAAUGCUUGCCAAUUAAAAAUGAAAUCAAAAUGAAGUUCUCAAAUCAUCAAGUAAUACAUAACUGACCAAAGCAUUGAUAAAUCAAUUGAACAAUCGAUUAUCUAACUCAAAAUAAGGACUUUUGCUGAGCCAAUCGAUUGCCAAAUCGAUUUGGUCAGUUCUGCUGAGUUUCUGCAUGACCAAAUCGAUUUCUAAGUCGAUUUUGUCAGUUCUGAUGAGUCCCUGUGUUGCCAAAUCGAUUUCCAAAUCGAUUUUGGCAGUUUUGCUGAGUUCCUGCCUCUCUGCCAAUCGAUUUCCAAAUCGAUUUCUUAAAAGAUUUUGAAAGACAUAUUUAUACAAUCGAUUGGCAAAUCGAUUAGGUUAAAAUAGUGAACUUCCUGCAACUCAUCCAAUCGAUUGGGAAAUCGAUUUCCCUGAUCGUUUUUCCAAAAAUUCAUGCAUUUACUCAAGUCAUUCCUAAUCAAGUUCACAACCUAACACUUAGCAAUUCCUACGCGAUUACCACGGCAAUUGGGAUCUCGAUAACCAUCAUACUUACACACAACAAUCAACACAUAACACUUAGCAUUUUCAACGCGAUUACCACGGCAAUUGGAAUCUCGAUAACCAUCAUACUUACACACAAUAAUCAACACAUAACACUUAGCAUUUUCAACGCAAUUACCACAACGACUCAAAUUCAAAUCACUUAAUCAUAAAACUCAAAUCAACCACGACUCGCGUGCCAAGAACCCUAAUGCAAUGCGUAUAUGCCAAAAUGCAUGGACUCGGAAUUCCAAACCAAAACCCUCCUCGAAGGGCCGUAAAUCAUAAUUGUACCGCCUAUCGCAGGCCAAAGUACCAAUUACCGAUGUGCCACCUAUCACGGGUCAGCACGAUUUACUAAAAUGCGUAAAUCAUAAACGUACCACCUAUCACGGGUCAGCACAGUUUACCGAGGUGUCACCUAUCACGGGUCAACAAGAUUUACCAAAAAUGUAAAUCGUAAACGUACCACCUAUCACGGGUCAGUACAGUUUACCAAGGUGUCACCUAUCACGGGUCAACACAAUUUACCAAAUGAAAUGCAUGAGAAUACACAGACUCCAUUCACAACAAUCGUUAAGCAAAUGCAGAUAUUAAAAGAGAUUCCCCAUUCUCAACGCCCAGUUAACUUAAACAUUUUCCUCAAAUGCACAUUGAGUAAACCGAGGUAUUAAAAGAUUCCCCAUUUUUAAUACUCGUUUAACUCUAAUGGUUUUCAAAUUCCACGGAAACAAACUCAAACAUACUCUCACAUUCAAACCAUAAUUCACAACAACCACACCAAUUAACAAACAUCAAGUAUGAACCCGCCAAAUGCAACGAACACAAAUCAACGCAACAUAACACCCAAAUACAUCAAAUUUCAUUUACUCAUAAUCAUACACAAUGACUUCAAAUUCAUUUACCACGAACCAUUCAUCAAUAUAAACAAAACCCAACUCUAAGGUUUUACCCAUAACGCAUUAGUUUCGUUUUUCCCCAAAUCGAUAUAUUAAACCCUAACAAAUUCCUUCCCACACAACCACAGAUAAGUCCCUAAUGCAACUAGAAGUUUGGAAGGAGCCCUUACCUCAACGUUAGCUUUAACGUGCGUUUCCGGUACCGCGAGUAAUUUCGGUAAAAUCUCCGCUCGCAACGCCGCUUCCAAAUUAGUUCACUAGCACCGUAGCGUGGUGGUGAGCAACUUUCCCUUCUAUCUCUUCGAGAAAUGAAGUUUGGAUCUAGAAGAAACGGAGGGGUUUGUGUUUGGAUCUCAAAAACCGUUUUUCUUCGUUUUCGAAUCAAAGAGGAAGAGUGGAGUUGCGAAAACCUUGAUCUAACUCUCCUCCAACCUUGGGUUACUAGUUUUGAAGAAAAGAAAGGGACGAAAAUGAAAAUGGGAGAAAGGAGGGAAUUUGGUUCACGGUCGAUCAGAGGAAGAAGAUGGAAAAUUCCAAUUUUCCUUCCUUUCUUUUUCUUUCCUUUGUUUUUCCUUUCUUCCCUUUUCCUUCUUUCCUUUAUAUACUCUUUUUUUUUCCUUUUCCUUCCUUCUAGUUUUCUUUUCUUUUUCCCCCCAAACAAACAUAUAUAAAUAUAAUAAAUAUAACUUAACAAAUAUCUCAAAAUCUAGAUAUUUGUUAAAUUACCGUUUCACCCGAAACACAUUAAAUUCUCCGUAAAAGAUUCAUCGCAGUUAAAUUCAAUUUAUUUAUCGACGAGAAAUUUUAAUUGGCAUCAAAAUAUCAUUUUGAUUAUAAAACUCCAAAAUAUUGUUAACUUUGGCUUAAAAGCCUCCGAGCCAAAAUCCAAAAUACACCAAAAAUACAUAAAUGGUACUUUAAAAUUAUGGGUCUUACAGAUAUCCUUUGGUGGUAUCCUAUAGUCGGAUGAUCUUCAGGUAUCUUCUAGUCGUAUCCUCUAGUGGUAUCCUUUGAUUCUGGGUUUGUUUUUGCCUUUGUGGUACUCUUUGAUGGUAUACUCUAGUCGUAUCCCCUUUUAAUACCCUCUAAUUGUAUCCUCUGGUGGCAUUCUUUGGUAAUAUCUUCUAGUCGUCUCCUCUAGUGGUAUUCUAUGAUUCUAGUUUUGAUUCAAUUUCUGUCUCUGGUGGCAUCAUCUGAUCGUAUCCUCUUAUGGUAUCCAUUGGCGGUAUCCUCUAAUUCUAGUUCUUAUUCCCUAUAUGUUCUUGUUGUUUAUUUUUUAUCUUAUGUUAAAUAAACUAACUAUUUUAAGGACUUUAUUAUGAUUUAAAUAUAUCCACAAAUAAAUUGAAAUGCCUCAUAUUAGUAUAUAAAUAAUUGGAAGUGUCAUUAUACAAAUAAUAACCAAGAAAAAAAUAUUGGCCUCUAGGGCUAACUCUAACAGUCUCCCACAAGCACUAGAGCUAACUAGAAAUACUCCUAAUACCCAUCAAUCUAGUAUGACCAUCAUGCUUCUGUUGAGCAAGUCUUUGUAAGUGGGUUAACAUUUUAUUUUCCAAGACAGCGACUCUGCAAAUCCUCACAUAUCCUCUAUCGAUGCUCUCUCAAAUAAGAUGGAAGCGUCGAUGUGACACCCUAAAUCCCAAAAUAAUAUAUAUAAUAAUUUAUAUCAUAUUCCUAUAAAAUUUGCAGCAAAUAAUUAAAAAUAUAUUUACAAGAAAAUAAAAACUUUAUAUUUAGUUUAGGAUAUCACGUUUCUCAAAAAUAAAAAUAAAAACCCUUUAAACUUAUUUUAUUCAUUAAAAUAGUGCAAUCUCGAUAAGCAUUAUUUAAGUAUAAUUACUUGAUUUAAUUCUAAAAACUUACUAGUACUUCUAAGGUUUUCAUACAAAAAUUCAAUUCAAAUUAAAUAAGUAAAAUACAAAUUAAAACCCUUAUUCCCGAUAUCACCUAUCAGAGCAGGGUUCCUCCCAAACUUAAACUUCAAGACACAUUAACCUGUAAUAAUUGCGAUUUUGAAAACACAUGGCCUAGCUAGUCAAACACAAACAACGAAUGAGGUGAGUUUCGAAAUCAUGAUGACAGUACAAUACAAGUAAGAAGAACACACAAACAAUGAUAAUAGGACCGUAUCAUUACACAAAUAUUCGAUCAAAAAAAUAUCACAUUCAAAGGUCAAAAUCACUCAAGGAAAAUCAAUAGAUUUCACUGUAACAUCAAAUUGUCUAAGAGAAAUUAUCACCACACACGAUACAUAUUAAUAACAACAAAACAAUUACAAUAAAAUGCAAUGUUAUGCAUGAGCUUAGACUCUACUUCACAAUGUGGUACCAUUCUAACUCUGAAGUACUUGGUUAGGAGGCUUGAUACUAUGCCACCAUCCCAGUGGGCGGACAAUUCAAAUUGGCCUUGUCCUCAUAGAUCCCCUCAACUCAACCCGAGACACAUAUACGUGACAGUCGAGGUAAAUGUGUGUUGCGUGGUAGCUCCCGACAUUUGGAGUGCUACCUCCAAGUCACCUAGGAAUUCCCCACCCGAAUACCUCCAAGGUCUAACAAUCUUGCCUUAAGGCUCGACAGCAGACCGCCACAAUCAGGCUCAUUCAGUUGUACUUCCCCGGAAUCACUAUGCUUGUUAGGCCCUACCAAUAUGAUGACAAAAUAAUCUUCACUUCACAAUUUCUCAAUAUUUAUUUUCUCCCCUCGUUGACCUAUGAUACUCCAUUAAGAACCGUCAUCUCAAACACAAAUUGAAAUCACAAUUAUUUUACCAACUAUGGGGUUACUUUAAUAUUCCCAUCACAAAUUCACAAUAUCACUAUCAUUAAUCAUAUCUUAUCACAUAAACUCAUUACAUAGGCUUGUCACAAAUUUAUAACAUCGUUAUUAUUAAUUAUACAUCAUCAUAAUCACAUAAAUGUAUCAAAAUAAAUUCACUUUUUAUCAUCACAUAAGCAUAUCUAAUAAAACUUAUACAUAAAAUUCAUUCAACAUCUAAUAUCACAAUAAUAUCAAAUAUCACACAUUUAGUAAAAAUAAAUCAAACAUCACAAUAAUAUCCAAUACCACACAUUUAGCGAAGUUAAAUCAAUCAAAACCUUAUAAAUAUUUCUAUUCCAUAUUUUAAUCUUAUAGUUCCCGUAUUUUAAUAUUAAUUAAUUUAUCACUUAAAUGACUACUACCGUACGUAACGAGCCCCAAAUGAAUCGUUGGGAAAUACGGUUUUCUCGUUCAUCUCAAAUUAUAUUAUACUCAUGAAUUCAAACGCUCUCUCAUCCCUUGCCUUAUUUUGAAGCUUUCACACACGAAUACCAUUCUACGAGCAAACAAACAUUCUUCAUUGACUAUUUGUCCUUCAAUUGAUCUAACUCGACAGUUUAUGGGUAAACGUUAAAAAUAAAUUAUGAGAAGAUACUCUAAAAACUAAAUUCAUAAUCCGGUCAAGGAAAAUUACCAUAAAUCAGAAACCAAAUCAGUGGAUAAUAUAGCCACUUUUUACACGGUCGUUUUGACGUUGGUUUCACUCAAAUCGGACUUACGGUGAAAGAGAACGGUGCAAAAUAACGAAUUCUACAAAACGAAGAAGUCGGAUAUUUUAGAGAGAAAUUGGGGUUGUUAAAAAUCUGGAAAAUUAUAUUUAAUUGACGAGUUAAAUGAAUGAAAUAACAUACUCAAAUUUGGAUUAUAGCCCACUUUUUACACGGUCGUUUUGGCGUUGGUUUCACUCAAAUCGGACUUACAGUGAAGGAGAAUGGUGCAAAUAACGAAUUUCUACAAACGAAGAAGUCGGAUAUUUUAGAGAGAAAUUGGGGUUGUUAAAAAUCUGGAAAAUUAUAUUUAAUUGACGAGUUAAAUGAAUGAAAUAACAUACUCAAAUUUGGAUGAAAAUGGAGAGAGUUUUCUGGAACAGUUAUCGAUCACCGAUGUGAAACGAUAGGAUUAUUGUUGUGUUUCUCUUUAGUUUUACGGCUGCCCUUCCAACUCCCUUCUCUUUUUUGUUUGUUUUAUUUUAUUAACAAUUAGGGUUCAUACAUGAAUAAAACCCAUUGGUCUCCUUUUAGGUUUUACUAGUUUUAUUUUAUCUUAUUUUUUUAAAACACAAUUUCGUUAAUAAAGUAUUAUUACUAUUUCAAAAAUAAUAAUUUAUAAACAAAAAUAAUUAAUAUUUUAAAAUACAUUAAUAAUAAAAAAUCUCAUAUUUAAAAUAAUCCCUAUAAUAAUAUUUAUUUUUUUCAAAUACUCAAAUUAAAAUAUUAACUACACUAGAGAAUAGUCAAAAUUAUAAAAUAAAUAAAUAUAACAUCGACACUUUAUAUUAAUUACUAAAUCUUAAUAAAUAUAUAUAAAAUCACAAUGUCAUAAACAAUAUAUAAAAAUAAAGUAAAUCAAACACAAUAUCACUACUAUCUCAAGAUAAUUAUUUAUUAAAAAAAUAACUAAAAAUAGAAAAUAGUUAUAAAUAAUUGAAAUAUAACUACGUGCAUACUUAACAUCAGUCAAGCGCACCUAAAAGUAUUACAUUAAUUGGAUACACGUAUGUACACGUAAAAUCGUAUAAAAUAUUUUUCUUUAAAAUAUAUAUUACACUAAAGUACUACUAUUUUUAAAAAAUAUAUCAAAUAAUAAAAUAUAAUAUUUAUUAUUUAUAACGCUCAUGUAAUCUAAGAUUUAUAAAACUAGCACGUCAUAGAAAUCACCUAUAUAACAAAAAUUAGUCAGAAAAUUUAUUAUCAUACUUAACUAAUAAAAUAGUUUAAUAUAAAAUUUAGGGUGUUACAGUCGAAGCAUGUGUUUGGAUCUCUAGUGGGAUUUGAGUUCCUUAAAUUGCGCAAUUGCAUCGUUAUUAUCACAGUAAAGUCAAUCGAAUCCACAAUGCCAAGAACUAUAUAUAGGUCAACAAUAGCUUUUUUACCAAACAACCUCCUUUGUUGCAUUAGAGGCAACAAUGUACUUCACCUUUGUAGUAGAAUCAACGUUUGUCUCUUACUUUGAACUCUUCCAACUCACAACGCCACUAUUCAGACGAAACACAUAGCCAAACUGCGAUCUUGAGUCAUCUUUAUCAGUUUGGAAGUUAGCAUCAGUGUAACCCUUUAGGAUGAGUUCUUUCUCAUCAGCAUACACUAAGCAAUGAAACCUUAUUCCUUCUCAAAUACUUUAGGAUGCUCUUAGCUGUGGUCCAGUGACCUUCACCAGGAUAUAUGAUUAAUACAUGUUCGUCAUGCUCAGCGGAUAUUGGACAUCUAUCUAGUACAUAUCAUGGCUUAUAUGAUAGAUCAUAUUGUUGAGGCAUAAGACAUUUUACUCAUGUGGAGGAGUGUGUGUGAUGUAGAUAGGAUUCGUUUUUCUAUAUAACAAUAGUUAUGUCAUAGGCCACUUGAUAGAGCGACACCGUGUAAAUGCAUGACCAUACUAGAAUGGAUCAAUAUUUGAUAUUGGGUCUAUUAGUUUUACGCAUCUACUCGGGGAUUGAGAAAUAAAGAAUUGAUCAUUGCAAGGAUGACAUGUAUUGUGACUUGUAUUCAAUUAGGUAUUUGAACAAAUGCACAAUUCAUGCAUGGUAAAUAAUUGUCGCAAUAAAAUUUAAAUUGUAUCACCGAUUUUCUCACCAGAAUCUAUAAGAGUUACAUGCAUAAAGUAUUGUUAGAUGAUUGAAUGAUUAAAUUUAAUAAGAUUUGAUUUAAUUAGAUGUUAACCGUACUAAAUAUGAUUUAUUAUUUAAUAUAUUUUUAAUUUAUGUAAUUGAAUAUGAUUUGGUUAAAUAAAUGAGGAGGAUUGACAAUUAAUUCAAUUUAAUUAAACAUAGUUUAAUUUAAUAAAUAAUUUGUAUUUAAUUAAAAUAGUUUAAUUUAAUAUAAUUUUUAAAACUUAUUUUGGCUUGAGCCCAAAAUAGGAGUUUUAAGGUUUUAGUGGCUCAUUCUCUAUAAAUAGAGGAAUUGCACACUCUCCAAGUAAUCAUGAUUUCCACUACCCUCGUAGAUUGACUAGCACCGCGCUCCGUUUUGUGCUCAUGUAGGCUAUGUAGAGAUGCAGAUAGUUUCCACGUUGGUGAUCAAAGUUAAAGCAUGAUUCAAAAGAGAUGUUUCGUGUUGGUGAUCUUUCUCCUCGAUGUUUUAAGAGGUAAACACAUAAAUCCCUUAUAGUGAAAUUUGGGGCUUACAUGAUCCUUGGCUAAAGGGGUUUUCUGCUCAUGACAAUGAUUUUAAAAAGGGUUCUUAAAGUCUAUCUCAAAAUUCCACAACAGUUGUUUCAUCAAGAUAUAAAUGGAUGCUAAUACUAGAACGGAUUGUGCAAAUGAUCUUUGGCUUCCAAUAUUCUUGAGGUAUUUGUGUUUCAUAUUCCAAUUUCCAACAGUUCAAACAUUUUGUAAAUCAUCAUGAUAAGCAAAGGAAAACUCAAAAAUAUUUCUCAAGGGGAACCACGUGCCAUGAACCAACCGAUUUCCAUAUUUUUUUAAAGCUUUUGACGUCAAUUUUAUAAAAUGAUUGGUGUAUUUCCUUUAGACAUCGUAACUCUACGAUGAAGGUUAUUCUUGUAAAUUUCCAAAACUAGUUGAUAUUCAUCUUCUCGAAUUUUGAUAGCACUUUUUGAUGUAGAGUUUUGGUAAUUAACUCAACUGAAUGGUCCAUGAAUUUUGGAGAGCUUGGAGAAAAAAUUUAACAAUGGAUUGUAGAGUGUUGACCGACACAACUAUGUAGGUCGGAGGAAUUUUUGUGACAAUCCUUGCAAGCAUAAGUCAUGAAGAACAUACCAUAUGCGUUAUUUAUGCAUGACAACAAUUGACGAGAGAACCAUAAUGUCAACCCCAAUAGCAACUGACAACUCAACAACAAUGACAACAAGAAACCAAAUGGAAAACAAAUCGAACCAUCAAUAAGAUUAAAUAAACAAUGUGAAUUAGAAGUCGACAUCAAUAGUGUGUCCAAACACGAAUCAAAAGCCAAACAUGAAUCAUAAUCCAGACCCAAAAACAAAAACCAAACGUCAACACAAAUGCGAAAAUAGUUUCAACGCAUGAUGCGAAUUACAAAUUAAAUGUGAGUUAGAUUGACAAUAAAAGAAAACAAAGGUAAUACUAUUUUUACUAAAUUAUCCUUUGAUCAAAUAAUUUGGGCGCAUGUUUUUAAAUUUUUACUGUGGCAUUUUAAUUGCGUUGUAUAGCUUAGAUUAAUGUUUUUAGAUUAAUACUAUUUUUACAUAUUAACUCAUGUUCGCGCUGUAGACCAUAACUUGAGCUCUGUUGGAAUAAAAAUCCAAUGCAGAACUUUGUUGGGUCUAAAUUGCAUAUUUCAUUAUUUGGGUUUUUAUUUAUUACUAAUUUUAAGUAGCGGGCCAUUUGUUUUACAACUCCAAAAACUGAGUACAAAGUUUUAGGUUAAGUAGUGGGCCAUUUGUUUCAUAAGAUUAAUCCAUGAGUUCAAAGUUUCAUCAACACCUUGAGAUUCAGGUUACACUGUCAAUUUUGUUUCAUGAUUCUAUUUAUGUUUAUUUGAUUAUAUUGAUAUUCUAAUUGUGAUACUUAAUCUAGUCAAAGGAAUCGAAUUCACAUUGGAUUGAUUACGCUUGUUUGAUCAAUUAUAUAGUCAAAUAAGAAAUAGAGUCACAAUUUAGAAAUUAAAUCCGUUGGUAGAAUCUAUGAUAAGUUUGAAACUCUCGAAUUAGUGGAUUAAUAAUUUUUUUAAUCUGUUCGAACAAAAAAUCUAAAAACCCCUUUUUUAAUUAUGACUUUCAAUUUGGCUAGUAUUAUCAUAUCAUUAGUCCAUACAAACAACUUGAAUUAUUACAUUUAUCUACAUUUUAUCACUUGUAUUUGACCUGUGUGCGACACCAGAUUAUCCUCUUCAUGCAUUGAUGUGUUGACCAUUAUCAUAAAUACAAGGUAUAUAUAUUACUUGAGUGUGGGGCACAUACUAUUAAUUAGAGUAUGAUUCGGACUACAGUCAUUAAUAUUUAAAGUUUAAAGUUUAAAGUGAUAUUUAUUUUCAAUUAAUUUUGUUUUGCAAAAGUGAUGCUUAUAGUGGAACAAAGGAUAGUAUUAAAAUUUUGGCUUCCUUGGAUUUCAAAAAACUACUUCUAUUUUCCAAGCGAUGCUGAUAUAUCUACAUGUUUAAAUAGAGAACAAGAAAAUACAAAAGUUAAAAUAUGAGUUACUAAUCAUUAGGGGUAGGAAUAGGUCAGGUCAAUUAGAUUUUGAAAUCCUUGAGUUUGGCCUACAAUUAAUUCUUUAGGCAUAAGUCUGACCUAUGACCUAUCAUAGACUUUCUUUUCGGUCUGUUCUACCCUUUAUAAAAGUCUGACCUGACAUAAAAGCCAAUUUAAAAGUCUUAUUCACAUUAAAACAUUUAAAUAUUAUAUUUUACGUUUUUUUAAAUAUGCUAAACUAGGACUUUAUAUACAAAAAAAAACUAAUCAAAUUAUAAUCAAAUCUAAUAAAAUAAUACCUAAUCAAUGCAAUAACUUACAUGAUGCUCUAUCCAUACCAAUAUACAUGAUGCUCUACCCAUACCAAUUUACAUGAUGCUCUCCACAUACCAAUACUAAUGUACAUAUGCAUAUAUAUAUUAAACAAAAAAUGAUUUUUGUAACAAAGUGAUUUUAAAAAAUUCUGAAACAAACACCAUUUAAACCCUAAAAUAUGAUUUUUGAUUUCAAAGAAUAGAUUUUAUUUUUCAUGAAACAAACGCACUCAUUAUAACCUCUCAAACAAAUUCUCUCAAAAAAAACUCGGACAUAUUCAGUAAUAAUAUAAAGGGACUGCACCUAUUUUAUGUAUUUUUUUUACUAUUUUUUACAAACUCACAUAUACUGGUUUGAUUUAUGAUUUAUUUUUAUUUAUAAAACCUAAAACUAGAACAACUUCAAUGGAGUUUCUAGAAAAGUUUUAAGAGAUUUUACAAAGAAUAACUUUAUUUAAGGAAUACAAAGAUAAAAUUAAAAAAAAAAUUAAGAUUUUGAAGUAGUAAAUAUUGAAAUCUUUCAUAGUAUAAUAAUUAAAUAAUAAUAUGAACGAUUGAACUUGAAAAGAACGGGAGAAGAAAAGGACAGGGAGAAUAAUGAAUUGCUACUGGAUAUGGAACGACCAUUGAGUGAUAGCCUAAUUGAUAUAUUGAUAUAGGCUUUAAAAUAGGAAUAAUAUUGUUAAUAAACAAUAAUAAAAAAAAAAUAACAUUAAUAAAUAAUAAAAUAUAUAUAGGUCGGCCUGUCAGAUAUGAAAGACUUUUUUAUACGUUUGAAUUUUCCCUAUUUAAAUAAAUAUUCUUUAAAAAUAGUUUGAACCUAACAUUUUUAUUAAACAGGCCAGACCAGACCAUAAGUAGGCUGACCGCAGACCCCUAACUGACGGUCUAACCUAUUCCCACCCCUACUGACCAUUAAUAAUGUUUAUUUUUUCCUUUGCAAAAAUGCAAUUGAUAGGCCAAAGAUUUAGUUUGAAGAAAAAAAAAACAUUAAUUAUUUUUUGAGAAUAUAAUAAAAAAUUAUAGGUUUGAUCAUCACAUAUUACAACAUUACAAAAUGCAUUUGCAUAGCUUUUGAAACUAUAGUUAUGCAUGUUUAUAAAUAAUUUGGUUGAAACAUUGCUCCUAAAUUAGCUCUUCAAUGUAUAAAAAGACAGAUGGAGUGACUUUUUUGUAUACAAUCAUAUGAAAAGAAAAAGAAAAAGAAAUAUUAAGUAACUAGUGUGUUAUUAAUUCCCCGAUAUUUUUUUUAUUAUAUUUAAUUGUAAUAUAUAUUUUAACUUAUCUAAAUAAAUGCUAAAAAAUUCUAAAAAGAGUAUAUAAUAGUUAUAAGGCCGUAGAUUUUUAUAUAAGUCAAACCGCUUUAUACAAAGCCUAUUUAAUUUACUAUAGACACAUGGUGUAGCAAAAUAGAACAUAAAUUUAUACUUAAAUAUGAUUUAUUAAAGUAUUUGUGAUUACAAAUGACCUAAAAGAUCAAUAAGUAGCAACACAAUUUUAUUUAUUUGUAAAUUUGGAGUAAAAGAGAAUAAUUUUUUAAUCAUGAUUUCAUUCAUGACACAUUGGUAACUUACUCCUCUUAUUAAAUAGAUAUUAAUAUGUUUUGUUGCAUGGAUAAUUUAGAAAUGGAUUUGACAUUUGGGGGAUUUUAAUGUCUGUUAAAAAAACGUGUACGUCUUAGUGGACUGGGUUUACGUGUAUGGGUUGGUGGAGGGGGAGGAUGCAUUGGAGGAGGGGGAGGAUGCAUUGGAGGAGGGGGAGAGCGGUUGCGUAAGCGCCAGCGCUCGCGUAUAUACCUGGGAAUGUCAUUGAAACGUUGCCUAAUAAUGUCGAGUUCUCCUUUUUUGUCGUAAUUAGGUGGUUUAGGAAUUGGUGUCUUGGAGAUUUGUGGGCUUACAUCAGCAAGUCCUUGUGGAACAAAGAUAAGAGCAGCAAGGAACAACAUUAGUAAGGUUAAGAAAUUCGAAACCAUUUUCAUAAGUUGUUUUAAUGUUUCUACAUUACAUAUAAAAGAAUAAUCAUAUUUUAUACUAGUUUGGAGCCCAAAUGGGUUUGCAAUGUCUCAAUCUGAGUUAUAUGUGUUGUCCCUUAUUA
rnacentral:lncRNA from 1 species